rnacentral:lncRNA from 1 species
UUUUUUUUCUUUUUGAUAUGUACUAGAACCAAUCAAACCGGCGGCAUAUCUACAUCGUGUGAAAAAACGGUAAUUUUGCUUGCAAGCCUCGACGAUGCGGACGAGAAGUGACAUGUGCAUUCAAUAUUGCCUACAAAAGAGGUGAGCCGGAUAUAUUGUACCUCGGCGAAGUAGUCCUUCAUGAUCAUUUUGUCGUCGAGAGCUCGGUUGCAGGGAAUGCAUAGCCGAUCGACCGUCGAUAUGUGCCGCUUUUUCUUCGGACCCGGUGCAUGAGUUUCGCCCGAGCAUACCUCGCCCGAAGCAGCGCCCCGCCGCCCCUUUCUUCUUCCCGCCGCCCGAAGCCACGCCGUCGCUUUCUUCUUUCCGCCGCCCCUUUCUUUUCCCCGCCUGCCGAAACAGUGCAGUGCCGCCCUCUUCCAACGAUGCGCGCCGCCAGAGUAGCCGGAACCAACCGGAUCCGCAAGGAACGAGCCUGCACGCCGACCUCCCGGGCGGAUCCAUGGCGCCGACAGAGCUUCGGCGGUGCAGGGCAGCCGGAGGCAGCACCAAGAGGCAGGGUUUUACGGCGGCGGCUGGAAGUGGAAGCGGGAAAGGAAAGCCGGUGAAAGUGCUUCGCCCCAACUGGAAGGGGAUCCUACAAAAUCAAAUUAGGCUCGCGGAUGCGGAAUCCCACAAAAAAAAUCCAAGAGGACCCGAUUUGACGGAUCUGCUUGGGCCGAGUAUACGGGUGGAUCCUACAAAUCACCGGUUAUUAUAGCGGCCACCCUGGUUUGCAGGAUUUGGAUUUGCUAGAGAUGCUCUGACAAGAGGACAAAGAGGCCUACCCCAGUUGAAUUCAAGGAAGAAAUGUUGAAUUCAAGGGGAGAAAUAAAACGUUUGUACAUUCCUUAGGUCUAGCAUAUUUCUUUUCGAUUCUUUGUAGGUGCGCAAUAAGCUCACAACAGCACAAGUUUCCAUGGUACUACCGACAAACGGUGAAAGCCAAUGCAUGAUGCAUGAGUCACAACUCACAAGUCACAGCUUCAAAUGUUAUCAAUGAGUUCAUCGAAACAUAGAGUUGGGUAUGCUAAAAACAGAGAAAACAGGUUUGACACAGCAAGGGGGAACGCAAACAAUGAAUUAGGCACACCAAGUUUUGAGAUGAAGACGAUUAGUUUGAAAGCGACAGGUUUUAGGCAAGCUGGCUUCCAAGCAGGAGGUCAGCUUGGACACAAUGAACCAUACAGACAGAGUACAUCGACGCAGGUGGUAAACUGCUCAAACCAAACACUUCCAGUUUUCACCACAUGGAUAACAGAGAUACAGGCCAAUUCAUCGCUCGUUCAUUAAGCAGGCACCAUCAUUAACAUCACUUUCCGCCAAACAAGUAGCCCAGGGACGAGCCACCGCCAGGAGCAGCAUGAACCUUGGUUGAAGGACGGUCCUGCGAGGGUUUAAACAGAGUCAUCAGCCAUUUCUCAGCCCACAUGGUAAACAAAAUCAGAGCCCCACAAUGACGUCUGAAUAUCUUUUCAAUACUCAAAAAUCAGAACAUUCAAGUAGGCGAAAUAACAAGAAGCUUUAACCCAUUUGCAUGGCAUUACAUUUCAGGGGGAAAAUGAACCGUUACAUUCUUGUUAUACUAUUGACUGUAGUGACAAAUAACAGAAAACGAGAUAAAUUCUUGGUAGCUUAACAUGAAUCCACAUAGGAAGUAGUUGCAAAAACUGUACUGGGCAGAAGAUUGUUCUAGCAAAAAAAAUUAAUGAUGGAUGCUGACAGUUAUUAAACUUAUGUCAAUGGAAACUUCUGACAUGCCUCAGAUGAAAUUUUAAUGGGGAAUAGCUGGAUCAAAUUAGGUUCAUUACAAGGCCAAAAACCAUACCGUAAGGAAGUUGCCCGUGUUCUGGCCAUCUGCACGGUAAUAGUUGUUCGCCCGGCUACCUGGAAUGCCAGCUGGAAUCUGCUUGGCUACAUCAGCAGCUGCCGGUGCUGGUUUCUCAGCAGGUGCGGGCUUCGCAGCUGGUGCUGCAGCAGGCUUUGCAGGCUCGCCAUCUCCAAACAGGUAACCCAGAGAACUUUGACCACCACCAGCACUCCCGCCACGACUCAUCUUGACUGUAAGAUAAAUACAUAAAUUGCAACAUAUGAGUGGACAAGUUCAGCGUGAUUGUCAGAGUGCAAUACAUUUUGGAAACAGCAAAUGAAAUCAUCAGGGAUAAAAGCUUCCGGAAAAAUUAAGAUCUCAAAGAUAAACUACAUAAGGCAAGUGAAUCUUGAAAUCAUAUGCCCAUACCGGAUAUAUUUCGACCACUAGUUACUACAAAAAUGUUGAUAUAGUGGCAUUUGAAGAAAUAUCAUGGUAAUUUAGGAGAAGACAGAAAAAAAGCAUGCAUGCUAAACCAAGUCUUCAGAUAAGAAUGCUUGGUAAGAUUAAGUAUCAGUGCUGCUUAGACUGAAUGAAGUCCAACAGGGUCAGAUAUUAUCACAAGCCACAAGGUAUGCUGUCAAUUAAAGCAUAUAAUCUACAAGGUUAGGUAAGAUCAAUUUCUGUGAAAAAGAAAGAUAAAACUCUGAAGAUGAGGAAAUAUAGUUUUGAGUACGGCCGUGAAAGAAUAUCUAACAGUUGCUUCUAAUAAGAACUUCGAAUAAAGGGAACAGAGUAUGAUCGCAGGACAUGUUGCUAAGGAUAAUGGUGGUUACCAGUCAAUACAGGGCAACCUGGAAAAUGAGGCAAUCCAAACCCAAAAUAUAACUCAACCCAGGGCAACUAAUCAAACAUCAAACAGUAGAUAUCAACAGUAUUGUGUUUAGUGAAAACAUUUAGAUCUCUGUUAGAGGGCAUGAUCAAUAGAGGAGAUGAUAGCAUCUCAAAACCUUAUAAGGUUAAACCAAUGACAGACAAAAAUUUCAGCAUCUUUGGGUUGAGAAGAUAAAAAUAACAGGGCAACAGGUCCCUCACUGCAAAGUGUGGUUUGAAAACACGAUGAAGUGAACUACACAUUCAUACAGAGCAGCAAGUUAAUAGAAACUCAAGGUCACUCAAGUAAGAUAAGAUAUUCAAAGAUAAAAUCUCAUUUCAAUCAAUCCUAGGAUUGAUUUUUCAACUGGACUGCAAUUUGGUGCCUUCCUAGACCAAAUUACACAGUACAUGUGGGGCCUAGCACUACAGCCAGCACCCCAAGCAUGUAACAAGCAAAAUCCAGACAGUAGGUUCAGUUUAAAUUAGCAUAAAAACAUAUCAUACCAAUCCAUUGCAUAUUUGAUGCCAUUUAAGGACACUUAGAGAUUGUUGGAUAUAGUUAGGGUGUUCGGCAUACUUCAGUUUCAGUUAGGCAAGUUAUCCCUUAGGUUUGACUGCUACAAGUCAUCACCAGAGAGGUUGCCUGAGAUUAAUCAUUAGCAUCAAACACAAUAUAUCAAACAGGCCAGAUAGGUUCCUACAGGCCUACACCAAACAUGGGUUGGAACAAUCCUAACAUGGCACAACGACAACAAGUCCAAUUGGAAUUCCGUGGUAUGUUUGCCAAAAGUUUCCCAUGAAUUGGCUGAGCAUCUUGUGAACGCCCGCACUUUUUCCAUCAAAUCAUUCACCUAUAAAGGACAAAACACAGCUGAUAUCACCACAUACCAGCAGAUCUCUUCUAUGAUUCGUUAUAAAAUUGCCAUCAUCCAACCUUCUCUACACAAAACAGAUGCACAUCACAAGUCUAGUCAGCAGUUCCCCCGCACCAGCUAACCUGAAACUCAAGUGACAUUGCUACGAUUACGAACCACAUGCCCUAGAAUCUUCAAAUCUAGGUAAGGUCACCCCUCGCGAAGAAACUGCGGUGAGCACGCGGACUUUCCGCACCCAAUUCUCCAAACUACAAGCCCGAUCCCCACAAAUCUAGCAUGGGCAAAAGUAAAAUGGACGUCAUUACCAACAAAUCAGCGACCAACAAAAGUAAUUAGGCGCAAUUCCGAGAUAUAAGCAUCCUGCAUCGACGGAUCCUGAACCAUACGGGCACAGAAGCACACGAUCCAUCUCAUUUCUGAGAGCCUGAGACCAGAUCCAGAACUAAACAUCUACCGGAAAAACAAGGGCGAGCGAGAUCAGCCGCGCGGAUCGCCGGACUAGGCGGCGGGAACCAAUAGGGGGGGAUCUGGGCAGGGGGAGGAGGAGGAGAGGGGAGGCGAUUGGAUACCUUAGAUCGGGCGCCGACGAGGGGACGGGGGACGAGGACGAGACAGGAGGAGGCGCUCGAAGUGGUGGGAGUGGUGGUGGGGAAGCGCUGCGUUGUUGGUUUCCUUUAUAGAGUGGGACGUUUGCAGGGAGGGGGCUGGAUCUUUUGCAGUUUGGUCCUCGUGCACGGUCGCAAUUCGGAGAAAAGAUGGCCCUGGCUGUGAGAGCAGUGGGUGAUUUGGUAAGAUGUGAUUUCUUUUAAGUUGUUGCAUGAUUGGAUGGUGUCGAUGGACGAUCCAGGGAAUUGUCUAAAUCAAAUAGCUGGACAGAGGUUACGCCCCUUCUGUGACCGGCUACCGCAGCUGGCUAUAUCUUUGAUAUUUUGGGCAAUGUGAGUAUUUGGCAUUUUAAGUUUGGAAUGUCAUAAAUGUGCUCAUAUGUCAUACUACUAAGAUUAGAUGGCAAAAAUGAAAGCUAGAGAAAAUGACAACUAGUAGAUUCAAGCUUGACCAUGAAUUUAACCAAUGAAAUGUGGGCUAUGUGCCACAAAAUUAUACCGUUGAAUAUGUAUUCGAAAAAGGUUUUCUAUAGUACGGUACUAACAUUUUAAGCCGCAUGAAUUAUGUACUAUGUUAUUUGUGAUCUAAUCGAUGUUCAAAACUAAAUCUCAAAAAGUAUGCGCGCCUCCUAAUCUGAAACAAGGGAAGUACUUUCUAAAUUCCAUCAAAUAAACAUACAAAUUAGAUCGUUUUGUGUUUCUGUUGAGUAUCGUGAUUAGAUUGAAAAAUAUGAUAGACUAUGAAGUAUUCUGGCUUGUCUUGUACUUCAAGUAGAUCAUGUGGCUCAUGAGGCUCAAGCAGUAAACAUCGAUUCCACCAAUCCUCUCUAUCCCGUCUUGCUGUUUCCAAAAUAGGGGGGGUGACAAGUCAUGCAUGAACCCUGAAGAGAAGAAGGAAAUAUCGACCAUGUGUUUAUAUUUUUGGUAAAUCCUUCAUCGUCAAAAAAAAAUGAGUUCCAGAGAUGAGCUAUCGAAAAAGAGUUAGGCAUUUGGAUUCACAAAGCUAUGUGACCGAAAUUAUGAGAUUUUGAGUAUAACAAGAGAUGAAAACAAAUUCCUCAACAACAACAACAAAAAGACGAAAGCAAAAGCAAAUAGGGUCUUCCAAUGAUGGUGGAUGGGGUAGGGUAGGAUGAUUUUGAUCCGAAAUGGAAGAAGGGGAAGACAUUGCAUAAUACAAGUGAUCAACAUGUUUGAUACAUAUACGCAGUCGUGAUCUAUAUGUAACAAACCGACGCAAGAUAUUGGGUUUUUUUUUGUAAUCUUUCUCAAAACUUUUGAAAAUGACUGAAAAGAUAACUAAAACAUACUCCCUCCGUUCCUAAAUAUUUGUCUUAUUAGAGAUUUCAAAUGAACUACCAUAUACGGAUGUAUAUAGACAUAUUUUAGAGUGUAGAUUCACUCAUUUUGCUUCGUAUGUGGUCACUUGUUGAAAUCUCUAGAAAGACAAAUAUUUAAAAACGGGGGGAGUACAUCAGAUCACAAAUAAACUUGAUUUUUCAACAAAUAUUAACCAUUAAGUGACUUUAGAUAGACAUAUAAUCGAUGCCGACACCAUGCUCGCUAUACCUGUCACCUUCGGGGCCAAUUGUCCAAUCAUUGACGUCCUCUAAAACUACAUAUUUCUAUAGCCAUCUCUACAGCAUUUAAUGAUUAUGCAAACAUACUACUCCCUCCGUUCCUAAAUAUUUGUCUUUCUAGAGAUUUUAUCAAGUGACUACAUACAAAGUAAAAUGAGUGAAUCUAUAUUCUAAAAUAUGUCUACGUACAUAACGCAUGUUGUAGUCCAUUUGAAUCUUUAGAAAGACAAAUAUUUAGGAACGGAGGGAGUAAGUGACAUGGUUCCGAACAGAGAAAGAAUCUAUCUUGAUACCUAGCUUGACCACCCAACCUAUACGAAAAUCUUGUGACAUAUAGCAUAUGACCUACCAUGUUACGAGAGACUGCCGACGCUACCAAUUGGCAAUUGUACAAUCCUCCAAAGGAUCGUGUGUCGGGUCAAAAAGAAAAGGAUGAUGCGUUCAAUAAAUUCCCCAUCUUUUGCAGGACAUAUAUGCAAGAGACCAAAUAAAAACAGUUUCCAUACCCUGUUGACCAAAGUCAGCGAAACGCCGGCCGCAGAGAGAGCACAUGGACGCCGGUGUGAUGUGUGGUGCGAGAGCGGCACAGGCAAAGCGCCUCUUGGGAAUGGCCCGAGCCGUUGAUCACAUUAUUCACGGUCGAGAUCGCGCGGCAGAGUGUAACCCGUCGGUGCGAGUCUCCUCCGUGCGGCCCUAUCCGUCCGUGUGCAUGUGACCCGUGGGCCCGGCGACAGCUACAGAAUAACCACGCCAAGAUGGAUGGGUCGUCCCUUUCCUUCCUCUGCCGAUGGCCGUAGCCUAAUCAUACGCCAGCUGACUGCCCCCACCUCUCUUAAGUUUGGUCUUAAUCACAUGAAGAAAAGGAAAGCACAGAAUAUUAUAAAAAUGGGGUAUUUAAAAAAUACGAUCCUGACAGAAAACUGCGCCUGCCUCUCUUAAUCAUAUGAAAAAGAUGUAAAGCCUAUCAGAAUGAUAGUGAUAUUAAGUUUAUAUAAAAAAUGGUUGGUCCAAAAGAAUUCUUAGUUGCUUGAUGAGAAAAUAAGGCAUCUCAGAACCACAUUAGAUGAAUUACUAAAAUAAUAUGCGUUUGGAAAAAGAAAUACUAGACUAUAUUUCUUAAUCGCAUGAAAAAGUGAAACAUUCGCCACGAAAAAGCAAAAUAUUCUGCUUCGAUUAGGCAAAAAGAAGCGGAGAUUAAUAAAAGCAGUUGUCUGCAGGGCCAUUCCCUUUCAAUAUCUUCAAAUCUCCAUUCACUACUUCAAGUUAUUAUGGAACAAGGAGCGAAUAUGGGUUGAAAACAUGUUCAAGGAAAAUUUCACCAGUUGGAGAGGCAAGCUUUUGUCCAGUGUUGAUCAACGAUAGUCUCGGUAGUUUAACGAUGUUUAUGCAUACGUUUUCAUUCUUUGAGAUGACUAGGGGGUGCGGAAUAGAAUGGAUGGCCAAAUAUCUUGUUUGAUUUUCAAGCAAAUGGAUGUUCACAAGCAAAAAUAUGGACUAACCAAUUGGAGUAUUAAAUGUCGACCUAAGAAUCUAGGAGGCUUGGUGUGGAGGUUCUAGGAAAUAAAAAAUAAAAGUGUACUCACGGAGUAGAUUUUUAAGGUUUAGAUGAGGAGUAAGUAUAGCAUGUGCUACUUUGGAAUAAGUAUCUCCACACCAGGAUGUUAUCGCAUGUGAACAUGAAGCCAACGGUUCUCGUAUUUGGAAAGGAUUNNNNNNNNNNNNNNNNNNNNNNNNNNNNNNNNNNNNNNNNNNNNNNNNNNNNNNNNNNNNNNNNNNNNNNNNNNNNNNNNNNNNNNNNNNNNNNNNNNNNNNNNNNNNNNNNNNNNNNNNNNNNNNNNNNNNNNNNNNNNNNNNNNNNNNNNNNNNNNNNNNNNNNNNNNNNNNNNNNNNNNNNNNNNNNNNNNNNNNNNNNNNNNNNNNNNNNNNNNNNNNNNNNNNNNNNNNNNNNNNNNNNNNNNNNNNNNNNNNNNNNNNNNNNNNNNNNNNNNNNNNNNNNNNNNNNNNNNNNNNNNNNNNNNNNNNNNNGUCCAUUCAUAAUUGGGAAUGGCUCCACUAUUGCUUUUACGGGAAGACACUUGGUUGAGCAACAAUCCAAUAUGCCAAAAAUUUCCAUUGUUGUAAAACAUUAUUUAACGAAAACAUAUGUUAGUUGCAACGUUAUGGCUUUGGUGUGUUGAACAUAGGUUUUAGGUGGGCGUUGAUGGCUCCAAUUAGCUAACCACACUGCGAAGACCAUCCCUAUGCUCGUCAUAAGAUCGACACUCUUACUUCAAAUAGGCUGCAACUAAACCAUGUGCGUAUGUGAUACAUCUACAAUGUAUAUAAUUUUUUUGUUUGUCACAUGCUAUUAUAUUAUCAUCUUAGAUGAUUUAUAUGCAUUAUUAUGCUAUUUUAUAUCAUUUUUUGGGACUAAUCUAUUAACCUAGUGCCAAGUGUCAGUUGUUGUUUUUUCCUUGUUUUUGUCUUCCACAGAAAAUCAAUACCAAACGGAACGAAACUUUUUGAGAAUUUUUCUUGGACCAGAAGACACCCAGGAACCUUCGGGAAGGGGUCAGAGGGGCCACCAGUUGGCGACAAGCUCGGGAGGCGCGCUCUAGGGCCCCCCCAGACUUGUGGCCCCCCUGAUGACUCUCUAACCCUAAUCUCAGCUCCAUAAAUACCCAAAUAUUACCUUUACACCGAAGGGCACACCAAAAAUACCUUUCCACCGCCGCAAGCUUCUGUUCUUGUGAGAUCCCAUCUUGGGGCCUUUUUCGGCACUCCGCCAGAGGGGGAUUCCAUCACGGAGGGCUUCUAUAUCAACCUUGCUGCCCUUCCAAUAAUGUGUGAGUAGUUUACCACAUACCUAUGGGUCCAUAACUAGUAGGUAGAUGGCUUCUUCUCUCUCUUUGAUCUUCAAUACAAUGUUCUCCUCGAUGUUCUUGGAGAUCUAUUCGAUGUGAUCUUCUUUUGCGGUGCGUUUGUUGAGAUCCGAUGAAUUGCGGAUUUAUGAUCAGAUUAUCUAAGAAUAUUAUUUGAGUCUUCUCUGAACUCUUUUAUGGAUGAUUAAGAUAGCUUUGUACUUCUCUCCGAUCUAUUGAUUUGGUUUGGCCAAAUUGAUUGAUGUUUCUUGCAAUGGGAGAGGUGCUUUGUAGUGGGUUCAAUCUUGCGGUGUCCUCACCGACAAAAUGGGUAGCGAGGCACGUAUUUGUAUUGUUGCCACUAAGGAUAAAAAGGUGAGGUUUAUUCAUAUUGAUUGGAUCUAUCUCUCUACAUCAUGUCAUCUUGCUUAAGGCAUUACUCCGUUCUUAUUAACUUAAUACACUAGAUGCAUGCUGGAUAGCGGUUGAUGUGUGGAGUAAUAGUAGUAGAUGCAGGUAGGAGUCGGUCUACUUAUCACGGACAUGAUGCCUAUAUUCAUGAUCAUUGCCUUGGCUAUCGUCAUAACUUUGCACUUUUCUAUCAAUUGCUCAACAGUAAUUUGUUUACUCACCGUAUGUGUUCUUUCCAGAGAGAAGCCUCUAGUGAAAACUAUGGCCCCCAGGUCUACUUUUAUCAUAUUAUUUUAAGAUCUAUAAAACCAAAAAACACAAAAAUAUCUUGCUGCAAUUUAUUUAAUUUUACUUUAUUUUGCACUUUUAUUUAUCUUCUAUACCUAUCUCUAUCAGAUCUCAUCCUUGCAAGUAACCGUGAAGGGAUUGACAACCUUUUUUCGCGUUGAGUGCAAGUAUUUGUUUGUUUGUGCAGGUGCAAUCAUUGGAGACUUGUGUGUUCCUCCUACUGGAUUGAUACCUUGGUUCUUAACUGAGGGAAAUACUUAUCUCUACUUCGCUGCAUCACCCCUCUUCAAGGGAAAAACCAACGCAAGCUCAAGAAGUAGCAGUAUGCAGGUCAUCACCAAGCCAUACCAAGAUAUCUUCUGUAGUUAUAUCAUGCAUCCAUAAGAAACAUUUCUUGGUCAGUGUGUCAUUAGCUACUUUGAGCCUAAGUUUCAAGAAGGUGAGAAUGGUGGAUCCGCAACUGCUCAGUAAACUGCAACAUGACUAGAUAGAUUUUGUGUCUUCCUUUGUUUAUAUUCCUAGGAGCAUGUAUAACAUAGAUCAUGAAUAUUUUAUAUAUAUGGAGGAGGCUUGGCUGCAUCAUGUCCGGCUAUUAUGUCUUACAUGGUAUUGUAAAGGGUUGGUUACCAUGUGAACUUUAUUUCGCCUCUUUAAUGAAUCUGAUGUAUCCACCAAUGUAUAUGUAUUUAAUGCAUGAGUUGAAUCAUGUCACUGUAAAGUUCUAGAAAUGCAUGCUUACAAUGUGCGUGUGUUAAUUUCAAAUUCUGUAUUCAUAUCAUGUGAUAUAUGUGAGUGGUUUACACAUGUGUUUUUUAUUGGUUGGAAUGCAAAUUCCAAAUUUUGAAACCAAACCAAACACAAUCCAAUCAAUGCUGCCAAAUAUUUGUCUUGAGAUCAAAUGACAGCCAAUGGUAUUACCAAAAAAGGUUGGCAAGUGCUAUGGGCUACAAUCCAAAUAGCCAUAACCUACCAAACAUACCCUAACUGUAGGCGAGACCGACCUAGGACUUACAAUAGGCAUGUUAUAGACAUGCGCCUUGAUACAAAUUGCUUGUGACCUCCUAUCUGCCACUAUUUGUGGUAAAUUGGCAGGGAAACUUGCCACAAAAAUCUGCGAUAUGCUCCUGGUUGCUGAAUCUGACCAUGCGACCAAAGAAAAGUUCUCGGCAUGGAUGAGGUGGCGAGCCGAGUCAGCAACGAAGGUCGCGUAGAUCACACAGAUUGAAUCAGAGAUCCCAUCAUACAUCUGCGUUCACCUCGUCGGACCUGCAUGGGCCACUACUGUCAGAGAUGAUUCCGGCAGAUCCCUCGAUAUGCAGUACAAAAUUUGCUCUAUUUUGUGACAUUUCACUUGUGUCAUGUAUAACCCUUUUUUGUCACGAAAAAUACACAAGUGACAUUUUUCGGCCGUCACCCCACCAUCACCAAAAAGCCAUCAUGGAAAAUAAAAUUUUCACGGUGCCACUUUUUUUGUCACGCAAGAUCACAUUUUAGGUGACAAGCCAAAUAAUGUCACCUAUGAUAUCCCAAAUUGUCAUCUAAGAUCUUUUACGCGACGAUAAUCCGUCACUGAUGAUUGGUCCGAGGGGUUGAUCGGUCAAAGAUUUAGAAAGGUGGGGCCAGCAGUUGCUAACGUGGCUUCUUCCAUGUGGGUCUGCCAUGAGUUUUAUCGCCAACGGUCCCGUCAGUAAUAACUUGGCGUUUGUUUUGACCAGUCAAAGCUACUGACAUACGAGCCCAAAGGAUGCUGACGUGACUGCUUACAAGUGGGGCCAGACAUUGUUGACGACAUGCAUUUACGUCACAAUUACCAUCAUUCAUAGAAAAAAGUUGUAAUUCAUCUAUUAUUAACUUUGCCAGCGAAUAUGUAUUUAAUUUGUAAUUUUAGGAAAAUAGAUUGAAAAUUUGAUUCGCUGGAAUAUGAGAAUUCAGACAUUGGCAACAUGUCUUCCAUUAUAAGUGAAUCCUGACAUUCUACAAGGAGAAGCAGAGGACAUAUUCUCAAACAAAGUAAAAUUAAGUUGACUAUAAGCGUGAGCCCAUUGGUGUUUUUCAGACACUGUCUUGUGCUGACUGCGUGGACUUCCUUAACAGGUGAUUGAGCAUUGCCUCCAUAUGUCUUUGCUUUUUUUUGAAAGACAGUGGAUUUCUUCUGGUGAUCCAUCUUAAAAUCUUCAAUCCCUUCUAGCUUCUUCUUCUUGAGUUCUUUAAUUUCUACUAUCCGGGCAAAAAGUAUUUCAUUCAACUCUUCAUGAAACAUAUCACUUGACUUUUUUGCAUCUGCCUCCUAAGUUGCAAUGAUGUGUCAUACCUGACGGAUGUGUUCACGAGAGGAUGAAUUCUUCCCGGAGGAGGAUGAGAAAGUAAUGUGCUUGAGGAGCUCUUUUCCUCAAUGAUGUCUACAUCAGGUAUUGUUGUCGUGUCAAGCAGUUUUGAUGGUGUAUGCAUGAUCAUCGAUUCAUUCUGCAAUACAAUUGAUAGCACUGUUAGAGCAGUGUUUGAUAGUUUGAAUAAUUAUUGUUAGACUAUACAUUUGAAGCCUACAGAUUUGGCGGUACUUACAAUUUGUUUUUUUACAGUCAGACUCAAUGUAGGAUCUUUUUUUGUAGUGCACGUAGGUUCAAGCAAGUCUCCACCGGAGUGAUUAUCAAUGCUGUCCUUAGGCUUGUAUCAGAUUCAUCAAUUGGUAAACAUUAAUACUACAAGAAAUAUAGUAAUCCAACAUAAAGCUUUUGCAAUAAGGUAGUACAAAUACUUACCAUAUGUCUGAAGUGGGAAUCACAUUUUGUAGGUGCAGUGUUCUGACUUAGCUUUAGAGUAGAUGGUUUUCCUUGUUUCUUCGCACGAAGUUCCUGCAAAGUGAAGCUCAAAUUUAGUACAAUCUAUCUAGAAGUAUGGGUUGACAAGUUGAAAAGCAAAGAGUGUGUAUCACAUACAUUGGAGUGAUCCUCACACCAGUGGUCCACAAGUUUCUGUCAAUUUUCUUCAUUUAUAUAAUCAGGCUUUAACGAUAUAGCCUGCUCACAGGUGUGUGUUUUUACCUUGUUCCAGUAAUUGUUCCUAUAUGGAAUAUGACCAUAUUUCCUCAUGUCGGAUUAUGGGAUCCGCAAACCCUUGAGAGGUUCGAACUUUGGGGUGCCUGUGGAGAUCUCAACCUAUCCAGCCUGCCUACUCGCGAUCCUCCUAAGCCUAGCGCGACAAGCUCAAAAAGACAAAGAGACAUAGGAGUUUAUCCUGGUUCGGGCCACCUUGCGGUGUAAUACCCUACUCCAGUGUUUUUGGUGGAUUGCCUCGAAGGGCCGAGGAUGAACUAGUACAGUGGAUGAACUGGCCUCAGGAGGUGAGGUGUUCUUGAGCUGGUGUGGUGUGAGCUAGUUCGACUCGUCUCCCUUUCUAUGGUGGUGGCUAGUCCUAUUCAUAGUGGCCUUGGUCCUCUUCCCAAAUGUUGGCGGGAAGGGAUCCCACAACGGCCAGAUUUGAAAGGGUACAAGUAGUACAGCUUAUCCUGACAAAAGUAGUCUUCGCCUGCGAAAAGCCUCCGGGUGUGACGCUACGGUGGGCUCGUCGAUGACCUCCGUCCUGCCGUCCUGGCGGUCUUGGUCUCGUUGCACCGAAAUGGAAACCUUUGGCUGAUUCCUCGGGACUCCGCGCCUGUGGCCUCCCUCCCUUGCACCGAAGAGGAAACCUGCGCUCUGCGCUCGCCUGGCGCCCGCCUAGCCUUGGUGGUCAUGGCUCACGUCAGCUGAGCCUCGUGAGGUGAACCUUGCAUAGAACUCUCCGCCCCUCGGGAGCCCGCCUAGGGAGGCUGACCCCUUGGGGGUCUUGGCGUCGUCCGCCUAGCGAGGCUUGGCCCCUCACGAGGGUCUUGUGUUGUUGGUGCUGAAGCUGGGCUGUACCAGGCCAUCGAUGGAGCCACGUGGUGGGCUGCAGGCAGGCAGGGCUAGAUAGCCCCGUAUCCAGGACGCCGACAGUAGCCCCCGGGCCCAAGGCGCACUCGGACUUGGCUUCCAGGCGAAGCCAAAGGGCAAGUGUGGAGCAUUGCGGGCCCUAACCACCUGCGACCUUGAUGACAUGUGGCGGUUCAUGGGACGUGGGCGUAUCCACUUCCCCAUGCUGCCUUGAUAUCUGGUAGGCCCAGCAGUCGCCCAUUGCCAGUGCAGCUCGCCCUUCAUAGACCACCAUGCUCGGCCCUCGUUUCCUCCUUUCCAGCCUUGCCGCCACAUUCGUAGAUCCGGUGCAGGUGCCUCGCCCUUAUUUUGGCGCUUGCCAUGGCCCCCAAGACGAGGAAGAAGAAGGGGAAGCCACUCGCCUCAGCCGGUCCUCUGCCGGCCCUGGAGCCAACCCUUGAGUAGUCGACGGUGAUCAAUCAGGAGGGGCUGGACAAGGUUCGCCAUGCGCUUCCCGCCGAUUCGAAUGAGGGGAGGGCGACAGUCGUCCGCCCUGCAUCUUGGCAAGUGAAAGAGAUGAGCGCCACGGAGAUCCCCAUUUAUCUCCAUGCUUUUCUCUCAGGGUUGAUUCCUCCCUUCUCCCCUUUCUUCAAUGUGGUGAUAUCGCAUUACCAGAUUCACCUGUUGCAUCUGGACCCCCGCUCUGUUAUUCUUCUCGAUGUCUUCGUCUUCCUCUACGAGGCCAUGGUCGGCAUCACUCCUUCCGUGGCCUUAUUUCACCAUUUCCCCUUGCUUCGGUUGGUCAACACCCACCAAUGCUCUGGGUGCCUGACCUUUGAAGCUGUGGCUGCAACUGCUGGUUCGGGGAUCGACUUCAAGCUCUCGCCCGCUGCGAAGGGAUUUCGGAAGCAGUGGCUGCUUAUGGAUGCCCGCGCGUUCAACCCCCUGCUCUUGACUCCUGGGGCAUCGACCUCGCCUAGCUCCGGUUCAUGCCACGAGAGGCUCUCCGACCGGCGUCUUGCUUUCAUCUAGAAGAGAUUGGCGAGGCUUCAGGAACUAGAAGUGACGGCGCCAAUGGUGGUGAAGGAAUUCGUCAGGCAGCGCAUUGCUCCCCUCCAGCGCCAUUCUCACCCAAUGUGGGACUUCGCAGGCAUCGGAUAUCCGCUGAGGCUGCAGAGGCCGUCGCUGGUUGCCGACACCUUGAGCAUGGUGCUCAAACUCAUGACCGGCGAGCCCGAGCCUGCUGACCUUCUGGGGGGUGGCUGCCUUCUCUAUCUGUGCUCGAACAAGGUGGCCUUUGCUGGGCAGAUGCCUUUGUUAGACAAGUGGGGGUUGCUUCAGGAGGGCCUUUAGGGGCCCCGUGAGAACCCCGUCUUCAUGGCACCUCUCCUGAUCAACCCUGCCGCGUGCGCCCCGAGUGUGGAGGCAAGGGGCGCGCGCCUCCAGCACCCAUUCGUGGCCCAGGAGGCCGAGGCUCCUGGGGCCCUGGAAGGAGCUGCCGCAGGACUGAUGCGAUCCCAAGCUCCGGAGGCAGAGGCUCUUGAUGCCCUGGGUGGUGGCUCUAGAGUGGGUGCUGACGGCGAGGAGCCCACCAAUGUCUCCGGAGCUGUGAGCCGGAAGAUCUCGCCGGGCGCCCCUGCUCUCGGGACCCCUUCCCCGGCUGCCUCGCCGAGUGCUCCCCCUCCUAAGGAUCACCUGUCGGGGUCCGGUCGACCCCGCCUGUGCCUUGAGUCGCUCCUAAAGAGGUAGAGGUCCCCUUACCGCAACGAUGGCACCCGCCGGCCGCUGAAGCCGAGGAGAUACGUGGCUGCCGAUGAGUAAGUACCUUUGCUCUUGAUCUCCUUGCGCGCCGCAUUUUCUCACGGCUGGGGUUUUGCAGGGCUUGCACAAAGGCGAAACCUUGGGAAGCAGGCGUCCCCAAGGAUUCCAGCUUGACGCACGCGCACAGCCCCUGGCGCCCUGAUCCUGCGCAGGGCGUGGGACCGACUCCAGUUGCCGCGACGUCGCGAGGGUGCCCCGGAACUGGGCCCCCUGCUCCCUCUCCCCGCAACUCAGCCCGUGAGAUGGGGGAUGCACUGGUGAUCCUUCCUCUUGUCAUUGCCGACUGGGGGGGUGCCCCCUGGGCGGCCUUCGUCUUCAAGUUGUGGGGCCACACCAGCCAGCCCCCGGCCGGCGGCUGGCAGGGCACCCAGCGCCUCCCGAGCGGCCUCCGGGGCCAACGAAGGUUUUGCGACGAGCACGCGCUCGCUCGUGGGCGCAGCGCUGUGCGCUUUGGGCUCUUUGGUGAAGCGAUGCGUGCGAUGAUCCAUCUUGGCGAGGAGCUCGCCAAUGUCGACACCAGGCUCGAGGCAGAGAACCGCUGCCUGGAGCAUGAGUGGCAGCGGCUGAAGGUUGCCAUCAACCUUGGGAGACUUCAGCGGCCCUUCUGGCCUCCUCACCAGGCGAGGCGGCCCUUGCCGAGGCGGAGCUCCUGAGGCACCAUGAAGAUUUGACGUUGGAGACCGUGGAGCACAGCUUGGCGUUGGAGAGGUUGGAGGUGAGGGAGCGGCUGGCUGCCAUGGCUGAGGACGCCGUCACUGCCCGAGAAGCUCGGGUCCAGCUGGAGGUGGAGGAGAGGGUGGCGAAGGCGCGUGCUGAGUUGGCUGGGAGACACCGCCUGGAUCUGGAGCUGCUCAAGGCUGAGCUUGAGGGCCGGACCUCCGCCUUAAGGCCGAGCUGCAGUCUGUGGAGCAGCGUGAGAGCGCUGCUCGAGAAGCCCUAAUUUCUUCCGAAUCUGCCUUGGCCUCCGUCCGAGCCAAGCUGUCUUCCCUUCGGCAGCAGAUCGAGGACACCGCAUCCCUGGCGGAGAGGACCGAAGGCAAAGCGAAUCGCCACCAGACGCUGCAGCAUGAGCACGCCUCGAUGCUUCAGGGCCUCAGACUCAGAGCUAAUUCUGCCUUGGGCACCAUCUGCAACGAGAGUGCUCCUCACCCGCACGAGAACGACUACGGCAGCCACCUGAACUUCUUCACCGACAUUGUGACCCGCUUGGAGGCUCGGGCUGCAAGGUCUCGCGAGCUUGUAGCGGAGAGGAGCCAUGGUCUUCUGGGGCGCGCGUUCUCGCGUGUCUUCAGCCACCUCCUCAACCGCGAUCCCCACUUUGACUUUGAUGUUGUGUUAGUCCCCAUGCCCCGGUUGUCCAGGACAACCUGGCCGGGUGGGUGGAUGACCAUGUGGAUGCCUUGGUAGCAGAAUUCACCAUGGAGGACGACAAGGUCGUGAUCGCAGCCGAAGAAGUUGGUGCGGAUGGUGAUGACGAGGAGGACGGCAGCCUUGAUGCAAGCAGCGCGGAUGGAGGUGAUGAAGAAGGGGCGUCCAGCUAGGCCCGUGUUUCUUUUGCUUUGACCUAUAUGACGAAAACUCGAACGCAUCCUUGUGAGAGCAUUUUGGAAAAGGGGUGCCCCUUAUGAUGUGUGAGAUCGCUAAAUGAUUUUGAAGUGGCACCCAGAGCGGGGCCCCGCAGGGAUGCAGGUCGUUGAGCGAGGUAGUUGUUUAUGACUUAUCUUGGGUUUCAUGGGUCUUGAGUGAGGCCUGGUGUCGCAGCGGUGCUUCUUCUCCUUAGGCGAGCCUGUUGCGGGCUCGCGAGGUUCUGUGCCUCUCGAGGGGCCUGCCAGCCUGCCGUAGAGUGCCUCAUGAGAAGCCAACUGCCAGACCGUGCCGAGGUGUGCGCGCGAGGUGGCCGCACACUCGAGCCCCCUGGGGGAGCGAUUGGCACCAACGCGUACACCGUACCCGCUUGUGGGCAGGGCAGCAGUCACGAGCUCCAGAAAGAACACAAGAACUGAAGGCAAGAGAGCGACACGAAACGAGAAAAACUCCCCCCAUUUUUAUAAACGCACGAAAAACAAUCUACUUCAAAAAGUUGGCAGGCAAGUACAAAAAGGAGGCAAAAAGCAGACGGCCGCGUCCGACGCCUAGCUAGUCUUCAGUCUUCAGUCUUCUCACUAGCGCGGAGCUAAGUGCUUCCACUGGGUGGGCAUAGUCAUUGGGGAUAGUGUCGACGGCCAGCGUGGAGCAUGGUGCUUCCAAAAGGACAUGGGCAGGAGCCCCCGUGAGGCCCCAUGGCAGCACUCAGGAGACUCUAGGGCAUGUACGGAUCCACUCAUUAUUACAUGAGAGUGUCACAAGCGAAGACCUUCAUAGGCUGAAGCCUUGCUUCAUGUCGCCCGACGAGGACCCCGCCGUGCGCCACCCCUGACCACCAUUGGGGAGACCGGAAACCAGGACAAGACCAAGGGGCCAGGAGGACGCUCGCGGCGUCCUCGGCGACCAUAGGCCCCCCACCGGGCAGAAGGGCUUGCCGGCGCCUUCCCUGACGGGGAACCUACCUCCAGGCAGGGCCCUGCUCCGUGCAGUGCGAGGAGGGCCCCGCCGCUGGGCUUCCCCCGUGCUGCUCCCAACGUCCUUCGCGCUCCUACGGGGGAUCCGUCGUCCCGAGGGUCCUGGUGGCAACUGCACCCUGGUUCACCUGUGAUCCAUGGCCAGCAUAAGCAUGCUCCUGCGGCGUUAGCUGUACCCAGAGGCUGUCGCCGUUGAAGAUGUUGGCAGGGCUUGGUGGCGGCUCGAAGGAAAGCUCGGCCUCAUGUAUAUCUAGCGCCCAGCCUGGCGUGGGGGAUCGGCUGGGGCCCUCUCCCCGCGCAUGCCUUGGAUCCAUCGUGAUGGGGACGUUGGCCUCCGGGCUGUCCGCUACAGGAGCACCUCCUGGCUGCCUCACGUUCCCUCAUUCUUUAGUCGCCCUCUGGUCCUGUCGGCCAGGGGCCGAUACUCCAACACGGCUCCUGGUAAUGUCGCCUGGAGCAGCCCCGUGUCGAGGUGGCACGUUCGGAGUGGCGCGGGCUGGUCGGCGUCGAGAGGCUCUCCAAGGGCCCUGGGAGGGGGCGCGCGAUUGUGUCGAGGGUGAGCGCGCGCCCCCACCAUCGCCUGCGACGUGGGCAGGGUGCACAACGGUGUCGCCCCCUGCAUGCCGCAUCCAGCAGCUCAGCGACCCGUUCCAGCAAGGCAUCGCGGCCACUUUCUAGUAGCCUGCAUCGUAAGAGCUCUCGGGCCACGAUGACCGCUGCCCGUGAUGACCCACAAGUAUAGGGGAUCUAUCGUAGUCCUUUCGAUAAGUAAGAGUGUCGAACCCAACGAGGAGCAGAAGGAAAUGAUAAGCGGUUUUCAGUAAGGUUUUCUCUGCAAGCACUGAAAUAGUAGGUGAUAGAUAGUUUUGUGAUAAGAUAAAUAGUAACAAGCAAAAAGUAAAUAAAGUAAAUAAAGUGCAGCAAGGUGGCCCAAUCCUUUAUGUAGCAAAGGAUAAGCCUGGACAAAUUCUAAUAAUGAAGAAGGAGCUCCCGAAGACACAUUGGGAAUUAUCGUCAAGCUAGUUUUCAUCACGUUCAUAAGAUUCGCGUUCGGUACUUUGAUAAUUUGAUAUGUGGGUGGACCGGUACUUGGGUACUGCCCUAACAUGGACAAGCAUCCCACUUAUGAUUAACCCCUAUUGCAAGCAUCCGCAACUACAAAAAGGAGUAUUAAGGUAAACCUAACCACAACAUUAAACAUAUGGGUCCAUAUCAACCCCUAACGAAGCAACGCAUAAACUAGGGUUUAAGCUUCUGUCACUCUAGCAACCCAUCAUCUACUUAUUACUUCCCUAUGCCUUCCUCUAGGCCCAAAUAAUGGUGAAGUGUCAUGUAGUCGACGUUCACAUAACACCACUAGAGGAAAGACAACAUACAUCUCAUCAAAAUAUCGAAUGAAUACCAAAUUCACAUGACUACUAAUAGCAAGACUUCACCCAUGUCCUCAGGAACAAACAUAACUACUCACAAAGCAUAUUCAUGUUCAUAAUGAGAGGGGUAAUAAUAUGCAUAAAGGAUCUGAACAUAUGAUCUUCCACCAAGUAAACCAAAUAGCAUCAACUACAAGGAGUAAUCAACACUACUAGCAACCCACAUGUACCAAUUUGUAGUUUUGAUACAAGAUUGGAUACAAGAGAUGAACUAGGGUUUUGAGAGGAGAUGGUGCUGGUGAAGAUGUUGAUGGAGAUUGACCCCCUCCCGAUGAGAGGAUCGUUGAUGAUGACGUUGGUGAUGAUUUCCCCCUCCCGGAGGGAAGUGUCCCCGACAGAACAGCUCCGCCAGAGCCCUAGAUUGGUUCCGCCAAGGUUCCGCGUCGUGGCGGCGGAGUUUCGUCCCAUAAGCUUGUCCACGAUUUUUUCCAGGGUAAAAGCAAUGACAUAGCAGAAGAUGGACGCUGGAGGCCCACCAGGGGCCCUAGGAGAUAGGGGGCGCGCCCUAUAGGAGGGGGCGCGCCCCCUGUCUCCUGGAUAGGGUGUGGGCCCUUUGGCGUAUUUCUUUCGCUCAGAAAUUCUUAUUAAUUCCAAAAAGUUGUUUCAUGGAGUUUCAGGACUUUUGGAGUUGUGUAUAAUAGGUUUCUAACGUUUGCUCCUUUUCCAGCCAGAAUUCCAGCUGCCCGCAUUCCCCCUCUUUAUGGUAAACCUUGUAAAACAAGAGAGAAUAGCCAUAAGUAUUGAGAUAUAAUGUGUAAUAACAGCCCAUAAUGCAAUAAAUAUCGAUAUAAAAGCAUGAUGCAAAAUGGACGUAUCAACUCCCCAAGCUUAGACCUCGCUUGUCCUCAAGCGGAAGCCGAAAUCAAAAAAUAUGUCCACAUGUUUAGAGAUAGAGGUGUCGAUAAAAAUAAAAUACGGACAUGAGGGCAUCAUGAUCAUUCUAAUAACAACAACAUACAUAGAUUUUUUCAUAUGAUUUCCUAUGCUCAAGUGACAAUCAAUUCACAAUGCCAAGUAUGGUUCAAAAACUUCACUGGGAACUAACAAACUAUAAUCUCAGUCACUGAAGCAAUUGCAAUUUAUCAUAACAUCAGAAAGAGUCAACAAUAGAGCCUUUCAGCAAGUUCACAUACUCAACUAUCUUGUAGCCCUCUACAAUUGCUAACACUCACGCAGUACUUGUGGUUAUGGAGUUUCAGCUGGACACUGAGAAAGAUAGGGGCUUAUUGUGUUGCCUCCCAACGUAUUCACCUUUAGGUGAUGUCAACAAUAAUAGCCCAUGCUAACUUACAUCCAAUUGGAUAUAUAUAUAUAUAUCAUGAUCUUUCAAACACGAGGAGCUUGCCAAAGGAUAAAAUGAAAAAGUGAAAGGUGAGAAUCACCUUGACUCAAGCAUAAAGUAAAAACAUAAAGUAAAAGAUAGGACCUUCGUAGAGGGAAGCAGAGGUUGUUAUGUGCGUUUGGGGUUCAUGCACAAAAUCUUAAUGCAAAAGAACGUCACUUUAUAUUGCCCCUUGUAUGUGGACCUUUAUUAUGCAGUCUGUCGCUUUUAUUACUUCCACAACAAGUUCGUACAAAGCUUAUUUUCUCUGCACUAAUAAGUCAUACAUAUUUAGAUAGCAAUUUUUGUUGCUUGCAACAUGACAACUUACUUGAAGGAUCUUACUCAAUCCAUAGGUAGGUAUGGUGGACUCUCAUGGCAAAAUUGGGCUUAAGGAUAUUUGGAAGCACAAGUAGUAUCUCUACUUGCUGCAAGGAAUUUGGCUAGCAUGAGGGGGAAAGGCAAACUCAACAUGUUUGUAAGGUCAAUGACAAUAUACUUUAACUAAGAUGUCAGAAAACAUAAACCAUUACGUUGCCUUCCUUGUCCAACGUCAACUCUUUUAGCAUGUCAUACUUAAUAAGUGCUCCCAGUUAUAAAAGCUGUCCAGAUAAUAUAUUUAUAUGUGAACCCCUCUUUCCUUAUCACUUCCUAUUAAUUGCAACGACGACCAAGACUACGUUCAUCAUCUCUCAACAAUUUUUAUGCCUCAUACUUUCUAUGUGGGAAGUCAUCACUAUCCAUAAGAUCAAUAUGAACUCUUUUAUUCUUUCUACUUUCUCAAGAUCAUAGCAACAACAAAGCCCUUAACUCAACACUAAUCUUUAUUAUAGAUAGCUCACGGAGUCGAUUACAAAAAGAGAUCACAAAGCAAAACACGAACUACUUGAUAUCAAAACUUCAAUCUACUAGAUCAAGAUACUACUAAAAGGAUCGAACUAAAUAAAACGGUAAAGAUAGGAGUGUGAUGGUGAUACGAUACCGGGGCACCUCCCACAAGCUUGGCAGUUGCCAAGGGGAGUGCCCAUACCCAUGUGAUUAUUUCUCCUUCUUCACGGUUGGUGUUAUGAUCUUCUUGGCGACGAUGCCCUUCAGGAUACGGUUCUCCUCCUCGAGCUUAUUGACUUGUUGUUUGAGAUCCAUAAUUUCUUUACGGAGCUUGCCAGUAACGGCCAAGGCUCCUUUUACCCACGGAUGCUGCAUAGCUUCUGGAGAACAAGUGAAACUCUUUUUCAUAUUUUCAUAAGAAAGAAAUCUAGAGUUGGAAGGAGUAACCGAAGUAGGGACAACCAGGCUAGGUAGUUCCCCCAUAGUGAAUUCUGCUCGGAGACGAGAGGUAACUUCUUGAUCCUCCUCCAUGGCAUCUAGUCUUUUCAAAUCAGCCUUCAUCUCAUCCUCUGUUGAUGGUCCAAAGUGAUAGGCAUCGCUAUUUGCUCUGGGACCUGGCGUUGGAUGAGACACCCGACUCCCCCCGACUGAUUCCUGAGAAGACAUCUUGCUUUAUUCUGCAACAGGAACAACUCGAAACAAAAACAGAGGAUAUUUGCGUGAUACGGUGUUCAAAACCUUUGGGAGUAUAUAUAAUGAAUUUUUACCAACCAAAAUACGUAACGUGCAAGAAAACGGAGUCCAGGAGGCACACAAGGUGCCCACGAGACAGGGGGCGCGCCCUACGGGGGGGGGGGGGCGCCCUCCUCUCUCGUGGGAGCCUUGUGUCCCUUUUGGACUACUUCUUCUCCCUAAAAUUCUUAAAUAAUCCAAAACUGAUAAAAAUUGCCAUUGGAGUUGUUUUGGAGUCGGUUUACUUACCGUACCACAUACCUAUACCUUUUCGGAGUCUGGAACAUUCUGGAAAGUGUCCCUUAUGUAUUCCUCAGGGUUUACGGUUUCAAUAAUAUUGGUUUCAACAUUGAUAGGAUUACCUGAAAUAUAGUGUUUAAUUCUAUGACCGUUUACCACCCUCGGAUUUGUGCCUUCGAAGUUGUUGAUUUUUAUAGCACCAGAACGAUAGACCUCCUCGAUAACGUCGGGACCUUCCCAUUUUGAGAGAAGUUUUCCUGCAAAAAAUCUUAAACGAGAGUUGAAUAAUAAAACAUAAUCUCCUAUGUUUAACUCACGCUUUUGUAUCCUCUUAUCAUGCCAGCGUUUGACUUUUUCUUUGAAUAGCUUGUGUUGGGGAUAUGACUAUUUGUGUAAGCUGCCUAGGAGGGGCCGGGUUACGCAAAGAGGACUCAUCAGAGGAAGCCCAAGACCAAGCAUGAAGAUGGCGGUUCAAUAAAAGGCUUAAGGCCCACAGACGGCUUAAGGCCCAUUGUAGUAAACCGCCAUGAUGGCAUGACUUGUAACAUAAGGUAGAUUUAACUAGUCACCGAGCCGGACACUAUUUAUAAGCCAGCCGGGACUCUAUAAGCUGCAGGGCGUCAACCCGUGUAUAUAAGGGGACGACCUACUGGCGGCUUAGGGCAAGAAACAACCCAUCAAGAGCCGGGCAUAGCGUAUCUCGCUCCCUGGUCAUCGAAACAUCAAUACCAACCCAACUAGACGUAGGCCUUACCUUCACCGUAAGGGGCCGAACUAGUAUAAACUCUCUCGUGUCCUUUGUCCCGAUUUAACCCCUUCAAGAUUCCUAGUUGCGAUGGCUCCACAACUAAGUCCUUUCACGAGGACAUCUGACGUGACUAUUCCACGACAGUUGGCGCCCACCGUGGGGCCAGCGCACGGUGGAUUUGAGUUCUUGAAGGGCAACUUCGAAGGGCUCAAGGAAUACGUAGUGGGCCGGAUGACCAAAAGUCGUCGCGGCAAGAUCUACAUCGACGACGAAGGCUGGGGUCCCGAUGUCGGCUCAAUCGAGUACGGGUACCGGGUCCCCUUCGGCGGAAUCCACAUCUUCAUCGGCCGGAUCGGUGAGCCGGGCCCUGAGCCGGACAACUGCAUCGACCUCGUCGAGACGGCUCAGCAUGCGAGAAAGACCCGGACUCAACCGGUCAUGAGGCGUGCCUUUGUGGGUUGCAUCCACGGAGAGGACUUUUCUGAAGGAUCUGAAGAUAGGGGUGAGACGGCCGUCCUCUCGGACGAUGAUUCAUCCGCCGGUUCAACAGAUUCGUUGUACCAAGUGCAAGACGGCGGGCUCGGGGGCUGUUCCGAUGGCAUCAGUAUUCCGGACCCCUUUGAGCCGCCGAGAUGGGCCGGAAUCUUCAUGGCUGGGACUCAGCCCGGCUCAAACUCUACAGCCACUGCAGCGGUAAUGUCUGGUUUAGGAGCAGCCGGGGCAAGCGGCCCCCACCGGCUCAGGUGCUGAUAGACCUCAUGGACAAGCUUAUGGCCCUGUUAACCGCCAUAGUUAUUCUUGCAGAUAAAGAUGAGCAUGACGCAGCGGUAGCACAGGUGCGUGAGGAGAUAGCUCAUGCCAAGGAGGCCUUGGCAGCCGAGGAUACUAGACUAGCUACAGAACGGGCGGCUCUCGACGCCCGGGCGCAGCGCUUGCAGUCAGAAGCUUAUCAGCUCACAAUGAGCCUAAACGCGUCUAAUGAGGUAAUGAGGAGGAGACAUCAGAAAACUCAGUCUCGUUUGCCUCUGAAUUACGAUCCUCGGGUCCUUUUUGCGACACCCGGGGCCGGCCCAAGUAACCCGCCAGAGACAAAUCAGCUUAUGACGGCCGGAACAGGAGGGCCGACUCAGCCCCGGGAGACGGCACCGCCUCACGUGAGCAUGCCACCGCCGCGUUAUGUGCCAAUCCGCCCGGGUCACUUUUCCGACCCUAUGGAUAACUUAAUUGCAGCUUCAACACAUUUGGCGGCUCUUCCCAUGGACGGUGAUGACCCGGCGGUGGUGGAGACCUAGUGUCGGUGUCAAAACCGGCGGAUCUCGGGUAGGGGGUCCCGAACUGUGCGUCUAGGCGGAUGGUAACAGGAGACAAGGGACACGAUGUUUUACCCAGGUUCGGGCCCUCUUGAUGGAGGUAAAACCCUAUAUCCUGCUUGAUUAAUAUUGAUGAUAUGGGUAGUACAAGAGUGGAUCUACCACGAGAUCAAGGAGGCUAAACCCUAGAAGCUAGCCUAUGGUAUGAUUGUUGUAAUGUAUGUUGCGUCCUACGGACUAAAGCCCUCCGGUUUAUAUAGACACCGGAGAAGGCUAGGGUUACAUAGAGUCGGUUACAAUGGUAGGAGAUCUACAUAUCCGUAUCGCCAAGCUUGCCUUCCACGCCAAGGAAAGUCCCAUCCGGACACGGGACGGAGUCUUCAAUCUUGUAUCUUCGUAGUCUUGGAGUCCGGCGGACGAUGAUAGUCCGGCUGUCCGGACACCCCCUAGUCCAGGACUCCCUCAGUAGCCCCUGAACCAGGCUUCAAUGAUGAUAAGUCCGGCGCGCAUAAUGUUCGACAUUGCAAGGCGGGUUCCUCCUUUGAAUAAUCCAGAGAAGAUCAUGAACACCAGGAUAGUGUUUGGCUCUGCAAAAUAAAUUCCACAUUCCACCGUAGAGAGAAUAAAAUGUACACAAGUCCAAUCUGCCGACGUAUUUUGCGGCAUGUCGUCACGCCACUACCAAGCCUUUACUUGAAUCGUUUUUUAUUAUACCACCUCAGCACGUUUAGCGAAGCGGUUUUCUUGGCACGUCUUGUCGAAGCAAAGAUCGUGUUCCGCUUAUUCCGGGAUUCUCAUCAAUACGGACGCAGGUAACCCAACCGCGCCAUUAAUGGUGGCGCUUGGGAGAUAAGCGAGUUUUACCAGGCUGGUGGGGGACGCAUAGUCUUCGCCCGCCUAUAUAUAACGGAUAAGGAUUCACCUUUUCACCCACGCCUUCUUCCUCCUUUGCUUAUCCACCUCCGUGCACUCAAGCUCCAACGCCCAAGCUCGCGCAUCUCGUCUUAACCUUCCCCGACCAUGUCCGGAGGGGGAGGCAAAUGGUUGGCUUCCACCGUUAAGGAGGAGCAUAUCACCAAGCUGCGCAGCGCCGGAUACCUUUCCGGCGAUAUCGCGCACCGGCUGCCCGACGAGGGGUAGCUCAUCCCUACCCCCGGGCCCCAUGAGAGGGUCGUUUUCCUUCCCCACUUCCUCCGCGGACUGGGCUUUCCACUUCACCCCUUUGUCCGGGGGCUCAUGUUCUACUACGGCCUAGAUUUCCACGAUCUGGCGCCGAACUUCAUCCUCAACAUCUCGGCGUUUAUCGUCGUGUGCGAGGCCCUCCUCUGCAUCCGGGCCCACUUCGGCUUGUGGCUCAAGACCUUCAACAUCAAGCCGAAGGUAGUGAAGGGCACGCAGGCGGAGUGCAGAGGCGCCAUGUUGGGCAAGAUGCCCAACGUCCUCUGGUUCGAAGGGGCCUUCGUGGACUCCGUCAAGGGGUGGCAAUCGGGGUGGUUCUAUAUCACCGAGCCACGCGACCCUACGUGGGCGGCGGCCCCCGAGUUUAGAUCUGGUAUCCCUACGCAACUCACCUCCUGGAAAGAGAAGGGCUUGCUGUGGGGUAAUCCGAAGGAGCUGACGGGACUCCGAGCCUGUAUCCAGAAGCUGGUGAACUAGAAGCUCAGGCUCGUCGACGUGGUCCAAGUCAUGCUCGUCCGCUGGAUCCUCCCAUGCCAAGAACGGGCAUUCAAUCUGUGGGAGUUCGAUCCGGAACAGCACCAGGCGCUGAGCGGGCUCUUCGACACGAUGUACAAAGGCGCCUGGAGGGUGCUGUUUAAGGGCGCCGAAGCCCCCGCAUCCGCGACGGAAGAUCGCGGAUUUCACUCGCAGCAUCCGGCUGACGAGGUAAGUGAUUCUACCCCUUUACGGGACACUUGUUGUAAAUAGAUUGAUUCUAAGAGGGUUUCAAUCUCCCUUUUCCUUUGACAGGAAUGGAUGAAGAAGGCCGAGCAGCUCAUCUGCCCGGCUCCCAUGCCAGAAGACCCAGUGGAUGCCCGUCUAGCGGGGCUGCUGGUUCCGGCACCGCACGUGGUGCCGGAGAAGAAGGCCAAGAAGGUGGCCACGGGCACUCGAAAGAGUUCCCGUAAUCAGGCGUCCGACGACGAGGCGGACUCCUCCCCCGAAGACGAGGAGGAGGAAGAAGACUCUCUCCCGGAGGGGGGAGAGAGGAAGAGGAAGGCUUCCCCAACAGGGGAGGCCGAAGGGUCCAAGAGGGGGAGGACUAUUCCCCCGGACAGCUCCGCCAACACCGACGUUGGCGACGAGGAGUGGCCUUCAAGGGCCAGGCCUCCGGCGAGAUCGUAAGUAUCCGGAUCCCUGAUAUGCAAUUUCUUUCGUGUCACAUAGUGUCCUACUAAUGCCGCAUACUGCCUGCAGUCCGACCGAUGAUGAUUUCCCCGCUUCAUCGAGCGGGUCGUUGGCCCCGUCGGAUGUGGAUUCACUUCCGACUGCCUCUACCCCCCGCGCGGAUGAGGAUGCCGAGGUGGGAUCCCAAAAAGGGACCCAUCAGGAGGAGGCUCCAGAGGCGCCGCGAGGCAGCCUCCCGGACUUUGCGCUGGACUCUACGCCGGAACCUGCAGUGGUUCCAGAGUCCGGCAGGCGGCCCCUUCGAAAGAAGGGCAAGACCGUGACGCCGGUGGACUCCGUCCAACCGGAGGUGCCGGACAACUUGCUGGAGGCGCUCAAAGGCGCUUCCAUCGAGGAAGAACACCGCACUGUUAUGAGUGCGGUGAUUCGGAAGGUCCAGCUCGCCAAGAGCGGGCUGACCGAAGCCUGCAGUAGCCUUCUAACAGGCUUUGAGGUAAGAAAUUAAAAUUAUGUAAUGUAAUACCGCAUAGACAGUAGCCCCUGAUGCUCGGUUCGGUGUUCGGAAAGAAAAGCCGGACUGAGGAUCUAAAAAGAUAUUCGCAGGUUGCUAAUAAAUUAUGUCAAUAUGGGUUUGCAGGCUGUGCUGCUGACCUCUGCCACACUGACUGCGGAGGUUGGUACAUUAAAGCAAGAUCUCGAGCGGUCCGAGCGAGAGCUCGGCCAUGCCAAGAGGCAGCUCGAGGACAAAGAAGGUGAGUAGCACCACUUUGAAUUUUUACCUUACAGAAAAGGAUUUUGGUCACAAUAAAAUUAACAAGGAUAAUAUGGGUAUUGCAGGGGCCACAAACGAGGUGGCAGCCCUGAAGGAGGCUGUGUCCGCGGCCGAACGCAGUGCAGCCGCGGAACGGGUAGAGCGAGAAAAGCAGGAGGCACAGGUGGCGGCAGUGCGGCAAGAGCUCCAGGCUCUCAUGGAGAAGCAUGAGAGCUUGGAGCGCGACUCCAAGACUUGAGAGUCCGAGCUCGCCUCGGCUCUUGAAAGUGCCAAGUCCGCCAAGGCCGAGGCCCGUAAGGCCCUUCAGGAGGUUGAAGAUGUGAAGAAGAUAGCGGAGGGUAAGGCAUUUUUCAUGCAAAGCAAGCAUGUUAAUGUAAACUACCUGACACUUACCCACAUUCGGAGCUCUCCAGGGGCGUUUGCAGAUCUGCCGCGUAGUGUGUCUGAUGCCGCCGCAUUCUACCGUGGCGAGGAGGGGAGCUCAACAGAGAAGGUCUUCUGGUCUCAGUACGCUGAGGCCGGCCAUCCGGUGCCCCCAAGCGACCAGCUGAAGCAGCUGGUCGAACUCCACAAGGUAGCUGAGGAGGCCAUGAAGGGCCUUAUAGUCCGGCUGUGGCCUGGACAGGCCAUGCCUGGGAGCUACUUCGGCCUCGUGCGGCGGCUGGUGGAUGCGUGCCCCUGGGUGGAGGUCAUCAAGCGCUCCGCCUGUAUUGAAGGUGCUCGUCGGGCCCUUGCCCGCACAAAGGUGCACUGGGGCAGGCUGGAUGCAGAGAGGCUUCUUACUGACCCGCCGCCACCGGGCAAGGAGUAUCGUACGCCCGAAAUGUAUUAUAAAACUGUCCUGAAGGGAGCCCACGAUAUUGCGGAUGAAUGCCCUAGAGAUGUAAUUUUUGAGUAAACUCGCUAUGUAUUAUCCUGUGCGCUGAAAACUUUGUUCAUGUGCGCUUUAAGCAACGCUUGUUUAAUUUAAAAUAUUACCUUCUGUGCGGCCGUUUAUAAAAUCUGAGAGAUGGCAAGUCGUUGGCUUCAGCCCCCAAGCCGCAAGUGCUGGGGUGUUCGGGAUAACUUGAGCACUCUUGUUCCCAUUUUUGGGUCCAUCUAGGGAGGCGCUCAACACAACGAACAAGGCAACCGGACUUAUACUGCUUGAACACUCUCACUUAGCCAUAGAAUUCUAUAAUUUUAAAUUUCGGCGAAGCCCCUAGUAUUUGGAAGACCGAAUUCGGGGCGCUAUCCACGCCUUCGUCGGACAUUAUCCGGAACUUCUCUCGAAGCGGCGUGAGUCUUUAAGGACCCGAAAAGACCUCUCGAACAGCGACCAGUCUCUCGCCUUAUCAUGCCGGUCAGUUUUAGCUUUCUCCACUGAGGCGCUCGCCCAGCUCAACCGGGGCGCAAUCGUAGUGGUUCUCCCAGUGCCACCUUAGCCGACGGAACGAAACGUAAGGCACCAAAACGUGGGAGCCGGGCAAACCCAACUAUUGACCCAAGACAUGAUUCGGAGCCGAUUCAUAUAAUGCUAUAAGUUCGGGGUGCCGCACUUGUGAAAGUGUUCGGACUUAUCACACCAUAAUGUGGGGAACAUAAGCCCCUGGUGUAUUAGGCCGUACCAAAAUAUACGGGUGCAAGAUGUCAUGUAAUGAACAUAUAUAUGUAAUAACAGGCAAAAAAGUGCUGCAUCAUUUAUUAAAGGAAGUCUGCUAUGAGUGCGGACUGAUACAAAUAGUGCGGUAAGCAAGGGUUUUGGACUAGUUAAACAUGUCCCCCUCCAGGGAUGGGCUGCGGACUUGGUGUAUAUAAUCAAAUUUAAUGCUCGUAAUUGAGACCACCUGAGUGUUCGUCGCCGCAUUCUUUCUUCCCCGGCUGUUGCAUCAUGAGUUCGGCAGGUUCACCGCCGGACAGGGCCUCUGGCUAACGGAGUCCUGUGUAUACAAAGAAGGAAAAAAAAUAAUAAGAAAGAGUGACACACUUGCGAGCCCCUGGUGUGGUCGAGCCUCACUCUGGGUCUAUUGUGGUCGUGCCCCUUCCCCUACGCCCAUGGUAUCUCCAAAGCGUAAUGAUGUACACGGAGGGUUGUUCUUGCGAUCAUGCGAGGGCGGGGGUUAGGGCCGCAUUGCUAUGCGUGCUCGGAUCGUGCCAGGUGGUCUUGGUUGGUGUUGCUUCGGGCGUGUUUGGCUGUAUCCGGCCGUUUAACGGCCGGACUCGAAAAUUGCCUUAAAAGGCUGCUCUGUACUUCUGCCGCGAGAGCCGCUGUAUGUUCCUCCGUUCGGAGGGAGCGUUCCGUAUUUCCAUUGACCGUGAUGACUCCACGAGGGCCUGGCAUCUUGAGAUUGAGGUAUGCAUAAUGCGGCACCGCGUUGAACUUUGCAAACGCGGUUCGUCCGAGCAGAGCGUGAUAGCCGCUGCGAAAUGGGACUAUGUCGAAGAUUAACUCCUCGCUCCGGAAAUUAUCCGGUGAUCCGUAGACCACUUCCAGUGUGACUGAGCCUGUACAAUUGGCCUCCACACCUGGUAUGACACCUUUAAAGGUUGUCUUUGUAGGUUUAAUCCUUGAGGGGUCUAUGCCCAUCUUGCGCACUGUAUCCUGAUAAAGCAGGUUCAGGCUACUGCCACCGUCCAUCAGGACUCUCGUGAGGUGAAAUCCAUCAACGAUUGGGUCUAAAACCAAUGCGGCGAAUCUGCCAUGGCGGAUGCUGGUCGGAUGGUCUCUUCGAUCGAAAGUGAUCGGACAAGAGGACCAUGGAUUGAACUUCGGGGCGACUGGCUCCAUCGCGUAUACGUCCCUUAGUGCAUGCUUCCGCUCCCUCUUUGGUAUAUGGGUUGCGUAAAUCAUGUUCACCGUCCGCACUUGUGGGGGGAAACCCUUCUGUCCUCUAUUGUUCGGUGGUUGGGUCUCUUCCUCGUCGUCGCUGUUUAGCCCCUUGUCAUUGUUUUCGGCAAUUAACUUGCCUGCCUGCUUGAACACCCAGCAAUCUCUGUUAGUGUGAUUAGCUGGCUUUUCAGGGGUGCCAUGUAUCUGGCAUAAGCGGUCGAGUAUUCGGUCCAAAUUGGACGGACCCGGAGUGGUUCUUUUGAAUGGCUUCUUCCGCUGACCGGGUUUAGAGCCUUGGAAUCCGGCGUUGACUGUCGUAUCGUCCUUGUCGUCGCCGUUAAUGCGGCGUUUAUUUUUGCUUCGACGCGACCUACCAUUGUGGUCCUUAGUAUCCGGACUACCAGAAUUUUUACUGAGGUUGUUGCUGCGAGCUAGCCAGCUAUCCUCUCCCGCGCAAAAGCGGGUCAUUAAUGAUGUGAGGGCUGCCAUGGAUUUCGGCUUUUCCUGUCCCAGGUGCUGGGCUAGCCACUCGUCGCGGAUGUUAUGUUUGAAGGCUGCGAGGGCCUCUGCAUCCGGACAGUCGACGAUUUGGUUUUUCUUUGUCAAGAACCAUGUCCAGAAUUGUCUGGCCGAUUCGUCUGGCUGUUGAAUUAUGUGGCUUAGGUCAUCGGCAUCUGGUGGUCGCACAUAUGUGCCCUGGAAGUUGUCGAGGAAUGCGGCUUCCAGGUCUUCCCAACACCCAAUUGACUUUGCGGGCAAGCUGUUAAGCCAAUGCCGAGCUGGUCCUUUAAGCUUGAGUGGGAGAUACUUGAUGGCGUGGAGAUCGUCGCCGCGGGCCAUAUGGAUGUGAAGGAGAUAAUCUUCGAUCCAAACCGCGGGGUCUGUUGUGCCAUCGUAGGAUUCAAUGUUUACGGGUUUAAACCCUUCGGGGAUUUGAUGAUCCAUUACUUCGUCAGUGAAGCAUAGCGGGUGUGCGGCGCCUCUAUACUGAGCAAUAUCACGACAUAGCUUGAGAGAGCGUUGUGUGUUGUGUUCGGCCCGGCCGGAGUUAUUGUAUCUGGCGCGACGGUAUUCGCCGUGGGUCGUGGGGCGCCCACGUGAUCCAUAGAUGGAUCUGGAUUGCCUUGCUUUGUCCUCCAAUAUAUCUCGCAAGUCCGGCGCGUUCCCUCUUGGCUUCGUACUUUUGGAGCGAUGCCGGGGUACGGUCUUGGUGGAGGGCCUGGAUGCCUCUCUGUCUCGGCCGCGGGGUGGUCGGUCGGUCGUAUUGUGCGCUGGCGAUGAAGGUAUGUAUGUUUCCUCAGGGGAGCAACUCGCGUCUUGGGUAGCUUUUGGAGGGGCGUUCGAGUUCAUACUCUUCGGCCGCGAGGACCUCAGUCCAUCGAUCGGCCAGCAGGUCCUGAUCAGCUUGAAGCUGCUGCUGCUUUUUCUUUAGGCUAUUUGCCGUGGCGAUAAUCCUGCGUUUAAAACGCUUUUGUUCGACGGGAUCCUCGGGCGCGACGAAUUCAUCGUCGUUGAGGCUUGCCUCGUCUUCGGAGGGAGGUAUAUAAUUAUCAUCCUCGACCUCUUCGUCUGCCGCCCUCUCGUGAGGGCUGGCUUCUGCAUCCUCCUGCGCUGAAUCCUGCUGGAGGGGAUUAUCUUCGGCACUCUCUAGGGUAUUAUUAUCUCCUAUGCCUGAAUCUCCAUUCUUGCUGUGGCGGGAUUUAGAGCGGCGCCGCUGACGUCGGCGCUUGGGCUGUUUCUUUGAGGAAUCUGCCUCCGCUGCUUCUUCGCCGUCCCCCUCUUUUGGGGUGUCCACCAUGUAAAUGUCAUAUGACGAGGUGGUCUUCCAGUGCCCUGUAGGCGCUGGUUCUUGUUCGUCUCCGGCAUCGUCGUCCAUACCGUCGAUGUCCUCGGAGUCGUAGUCUAGCAUGUCUGUUAGAUCGUCGACAGUGGCUACAAAGUGGGUGGUGGGUGGGCUUUGAAUUUCUUCAUCGUCCAUAUCCCAACCGUCCUGGCCAUAGUCCGGCCAGGUCUCUCCGGAUAGCGAGAGAUGUUUUAGCGAAUUUACGAUGUCGCCAAAGGGCGAGUGUUGGAAGAUGUCCGCGGCGGUGAAUUCCAUAACCGGCGCCCAAUCAGAUUUGAUUGGCAGGGGCGCGGGAGGUCCGGAGUCCGGCAGGGAGUCCGGCACCUCGGAGUCACGAGCUUCGCAAGGGGUAAGGUUAGUGUUCGGCUCCAUCGCCGUGGAAGUUGAAGCCCCCGAGGCGGUGUCCAACCACCGGUCCUCGAUCUGGGCGAUCGGCUCCGGACUAAGGGCCGGAGCGGAUUCUUGUGCGGCCACCAAGGCACUGUUCGGCGGCAGAGCUAGAUCAUGUCCAUCGUAACAGUGCGGCACGCUUGGCUGUGGCUCGAGCCCGUCGAAGAUCAAGUCCCCGCGGAUGUCGGCCGUGAAGUUUAGGCUUCCGAACCUGACCUGACGGCCAGGGGCGUAGCUUUCGAUCUGCUCCAGAUGGCCAAGUGAAUUAGCCCGCAGUGCGAAGCCGCUGAAUACGAAGAUCUGUCCGGGGAGAAAAGUCUCACCCUGGACAGCGUUGUUGAUUGAAGAAGCCAUCGAGCCUAUCGGUGACGACACAGAGGAACUCUCAAUGAAAGCACCAAUGUCGGUGUCAAAACCGGCGGAUCUCGGGUAGGGGGUCCCGAACUGUGCGUCUAGGCAGAUGGUAACAGGAGACAAGGGACACGAUGUUUUACCCAGGUUCGGGCCCUCUUGAUGGAGGUAAAACCCUACGUCCUGCUUGAUUAAUAUUGAUGAUAUGGAUAGUACAAGAGUGGAUCUACCACGAGAUCAAGGAGGCUAAACCCUAGAAGCUAGCCUAUGGUAUGAUUGUUGUAAUGUAUGUUGUGUCCUACGGACUAAAGCCCUCCGGUUUAUAUAGACACCGGAGAAGGCUAGGGUUACACAGAGUCGGUUACAAUGGUAGGAGAUCUACAUAUCCGUAUCGCCAAGCUUGCCUUCCACGCCAAGGAAAGUCCCAUCCGGACACGGGACAGAGUCUUCAAUCUUGUAUCUUCGUAGUCUUGGAGUCCGGUGGACGAUGAUAGUCCGGCUGUCCGGACACCCCCUAGUCCAGGACUCCCUCACCCGGAGAGUGAGAGAACUUCUUCAGACAGCCUUGGCUCAGCAGGAGACCUAUUCUUAUAGCCGGGACAGAAUCCAUUCAACUCCCCCGCCUUGGUUAGCGCCGCCCCGCCAGAACCGGAGCCCGAGUUACAGCAGGCACAUGGAGUCUGAAGCUUUGUCAAGCAACGCCCAACGCCAUAACCAGCCCGGUGGCUAUCACCCGGUACAAGACCGAAUACGUCAGGAGAACGAACGAGCGGCUCAGGCAGCGGCUCAGGCAGCGGCUUAUCAGGAUCACCCGGAGUAUCCGACGACGUCUGUUGAGGCAGGGGUAGCCACUAGAACCGGCGGUGUUCCUUGCCUGGUACCGGCUCUGCGCAAUGUAUGUCUGCCCAAGGACUUCAAGGGACCUCGAAAGGUACCGAAUUACACGGCCGACUUACAGCUCGGGGCGUGGAUCGAGAGUUAUGAGAUGGCCAUGGAGCUGCUAGAGGUCAGUGACGCAGCGAUGGCUAAAUAUUUCACCAUGAUGUUAGAUGGAACAGCCCGGUCUUGGCUGAAGGGGUUGCCACCCAAUUCCAUUAGCUCAUGGGAAGAGUUAAAGGCCCGUUUCAUUCAGAACUUCAAGGACACCUGCAAGCAAUCCAUGUCAAUUGUGGACUUAACCAAUUGUAAGCAGGGGAGGGCAAAUUCACCACCCAUUGGGUGCACCGGGUUAAGGAGAUAAUUCAUUCAUCUGACAAUAUGGAUGUCGGCUCUGUAGUCCUUAUGUUGGAGAAGAAUUGUAGCUUUGAGCCGAUGAGGCAGAAGCUGGGGCGCCUUAAACGUGACUGCAAGGAUAUGGGUACGUUGAUGGCGGCUUUAGUCAGAUAUGCCGAUUCUGAUAGUACCAAGGAUCCCGCGUCUGACGAUGAGAAGACAGGGAAGGGAAGAAGGAACGGCAAUGAAAAGGGUCAACAACAUAACCCGAGGAAUCAAAACGGUAGUAAGCGUAAGGCGGACGGUAACAUGGAGUUCGUAGCCAAUGCCAAUGCGCAAGGUAACAAUCCGAGACGUAAGGGUAAACCGCCUCGAUACGGCGGGUCAGGCCCAUCUCUUGAACAGUUACUUAAUGAGCCCUGCCCAAGACACGGCACCAGGGAGCGGCCUGCCACGCACCUGUGGAAGGAUUGUGCAAUCAUGAAGGCGUUUAAGAAUUCCAACACUUAUGAUGGCCAUAGUGGGUCUGGUGGUGGUUCAGGAGCUGGCGGUUUCCAUGGCCCAGGUGGCGGCUCAGGAUCCGGUUUUCAGGGACGUCAAGGAGGGGGCUAUAACCAACAGCAGUCUGGUUAAGGGGAGCAGCAGCAGCAGCUGUCGGGUUACCAGAGCAACCCGAAGCAAUUGAAUAGUGGGCAGUAUCACGUAUUUACCACUAGCUUAUGCAAAUGUGACCAGAAGGUGCAUAAGAGGGCCGUUAAUUCUGUUGAGCCGGCAAUCCCUUGUUAUUUGAGGUGGUCAGAGCAGCCCAUCAUAUGGAGCAGGGAAGAUCAUCCUCCGCGGGUCGAUAACCCAGGUCAGUUGGCCUUGGUAGUGGCACCUCAGGUUGGGGGGUAUAAGUUCACUAAAGUGCUCAUGGACGGGGGUAGUAGCAUCAAUAUCCUCUACUAUGAGACCUUUCGACGCAUGGGAUUAACUGAUAAAAAUCUAAGAACAUCCAACACCGUUUUCCAUGGAGUUGUCCCUGGUAAGUCAGCUUACCCAGUUGGCAGGAUUGAGCUCGAGGUGGCCUUUGGAGACGAACAUGACUCCAGAGCUGAGAAGUUGACGUUUGAGGUGGUCAAAAUCAAGAGCCCAUACCACACUCUGUUUGGGCGGCCGGCUUAUGCUAAGUUUAUGGCCCGGCCAUGUUAUGUUUAUUUGCAGCUCAAGAUGCCGGGUCACAAGGGCACCAUCACUGUACAUGGCAGUCGUAAGGUAGCACUGGAGUGUGAAGAAGGUGACGCGGCUUAUGCUGAGUCGGCCUGCGCAGCGGAAGAGCUCAAAUUUUAUCAAGAUAAUGUUGACCCGGCGGAUAUGACAUCCCUGAAGAAGCCGACUACAGAGCACGACCCGACGUUGAAAUUUAAGUCGGCAGCUGAGACAAAGCUUGUUGAUUUUACCCCGGGUGAUUCUUCUAAACAGUUCAGCAUCAGCAGCAACUUGGAUCCCAAAUAAGAAAGCGCACUCAUCGAGUUCAUCCGUGAGAACCGGGACAUCUUUGCAUGGAAACCUUCUGACAUGCCAGGUGUACCGAGGGAACUCGCUGAGCACACUCUCAACAUUGAUCCAAAGUAUAAGCCGGUUAGGCAGUUUCUUCGGUGUUUUAACGAAGAGCGACAGAAAGCUAUUGGGGAAGAAGUCGCCCGGCUCUUAGAGGCCGGGUCUAUCAUUAAAGUUUUUCACCCGGAGUGGUUGGCUAACCCGGUGCUUGUCCUCAAAAAGAACGGCACCUGGCGGAUGUGUGUGGACUACACGGACUUAAACAAGGCUUGUCCGGCUGAUCCUUUUGCUCUUCCCCGUAUUGAUCAAAUCAUUGAUGCUACGACAGGUUGUGAGCGUUUGAGUUUUUUGGAUGCUGACUCCGGUUAUCAUCAGAUUAAGAUGGCAGUUAAGGACCAAGAGAAGACGGCUUUCAUCACUCUGUUUGGAGCCUCCUGCUAUGUAUCUAUGCCGUUUGGGCUCAAGAGUGACCAGGCGACUUAUCAGUGGUGUGUGCAGAACUGUUUGCACGAUCAAAUUGGGCAUAAUGUUCAUGCUUAUGUGGAUGACAUUGUGGUGAAGUACAGAUAAAAGGAGACCUUGAUAUGUGACUUAAAGGAGACCUUUGAUAAUCUCUGGGUUUACAAGAUGAUGCUUAACCUGACCAAGUGUGUGUUUGGCGUUCCUGCGGGCAAGCUCUUGGGCUUUCUGGUGUCCAACAGAGGCAUCGAAGCUAACCCGGAGAAGAUUAAGGCGAUUACCUCCCUGGCUAAACCGGCAUGCAUCAAUGAUGUUCAGCGACUGGCGGGUCGUGUCGCUGCCUUAAGUAGGUUCAUAAGCCGGCUCGGUGAGAAGGCCCUCCUGUUGUAUCAGAUGAUGAAGAAAACUGACACUUUUGUCUGGAGUGAGGCCGUCGAUGCUGCUUUUGAAGACUUAAAGAGACAACUGUCUGAGCCAUCGGUUCUCGCAGCUCCGAUUGACAAAGAACCUUUGCUGUUAUAUGUGGCUGCCAAUUCAUGAGCCGUCAGUGUUGCCAUCGUGGUAGAGCGUAAGGAAGCCGGUAAGGAGCAUCCGGUUCAACGGCCGGUUUACUACAUCAGUGAGGUGCUCAUUGAAUCCAAGCAAAGGUACCUGCAUUGGCAGAAGCUUGUUUGCGGGGUGUUCAUGGCCAAGCGGAAAUUGAAGUAGUACUUUCAAAGCCACCCUAUAACUGUGGUAAGUUCUGCCCCUUUGGGAGACAUCAUUCAGAACAUGGAGGCCACAAGACGAGUUGCCAAGUGGGCCAUUGAGCUUGGACCUCACGAUUUGAAGUACAUGCCACGUACUGCUAUUAAGUCUCAGGCCUUGGUGGACUUUAUCAAUGAUUGGACAGAGUUACAGGCCCCUGAGGAGAAGCCGAAUAACACAUAUUGGACGAUUCGCUUUGAUGGGUCCAGGCAGCUAGAAGGCUCGGGGGCUGGAGUGGUGUUAACUUCCCCUCUAGGUGACAAAUUUUGUUAUGUACUCCGGCUUAUGUUUCCAUGUACUAACAAUCCAGCUGAAUAUGAGGCCUUACUCCAUGGUCUCCGGAUGGCUAAGGAGAUGAACUUAAGCCGGGUACGAUGCUUGGGCAACUCAGAUCUUGUGGCUCAACAAGUGUCAGGCAAGUGGGAUUCCAAGGACCCCCUUAUGGCGGCUUACCAUCAUGAGGUAGAUGCUGUGGCUGGUCACUUCACGGGUUAUCAAGUGGAACACAUCGAUCAAAGGAAGAAUGAUGCGGCUGAUGCUUUAAGCCGGUUGGGAUCCCAACAUAAACCGGUGCCACCCAAUACCUUUCUCGAUGUGUUACAUAACCCUUCUGUCAAGGUGCCUACCGAGGAAGAACUAGCAGUGCCAGACCCGGAGGCACAGCUGGUGGCGGCUCUUCACGUUAUCCCGGAUUGGACGGUGCCUUAUUUGGCUUAUAUGACCCGGGGUGAAUUGCCGGAGGAUGAGACAUUGGCAAGACAAAUUAUUAGGCGCUCCAAAUCCAUGACGAUUGUUAACGGCAAAUUACAUCACCUAAGCGUCACGGGGGCGUUUCAACACUGUGUGUCACCUACAGAAGGCCAAGAAAUACUUCGUGAGAUCCAUGAAGGGGAUUGUGGCCAACAUGCCGGGUCAAAAUCUCUCAUAGCCAAGACUUUUCGUCAUGGUUUCUAUUGGCUGACGGCUCAUGCUGAUGCGGAGGAUCUGGUCAGUAAAUAUGAUGGUUGUCAAAAGUUCUCACGACAAGCUCAUGUGUCGGCUCAAGAAUUGAGGAUGAUCCCAAUCACUUGGCCAUUUGCAGUCUAGGGGCUUGACAUGGUUGGACCUUUCAAAAGGUCUAAAGACAAAAAGACACAUCUACUGGUGGCAGUGGACAAGUUUACCAAGUGGGUUGAGGCAGAGCCGGUCAGUAAGUGUGAUGCAGCCACGGCGGUUCAGUUCAUGAAAAAGGUGAUCUUUCGUUUUGGUUUUCCACAUAGCAUCAUAACUAAUAAUGGCACUAAUCUCUCUAAGGGUGCCAUGGAAGAGUUCUGUCAAAGAGAACACAUCCGGCUUGAUGUUUCGGCCGUUGCUCAUCCUCAAUCCAAUGGUCAAGCGGAGAGAGCUAAUCAAGAGAUCCUGAAAGGCAUCAAACCCCGGCUCUUAGGCCCCUUACAGCGGACUCCGGGUUGUUGGGUGGAGGAGUUACCCUCCGUGUUAUGGAGCAUCAACACCACACCUAACAGAUCUAUGGGAUACACGCCUUUUUUCAUGGUUUAUGGAGCAGAGGCGGUCCUGCCAAGUGACAUCCGACACGACUCACCCUGAGUGGCGGCUUACUUUGAGGCGGAUAAUGAAAAGGCUCGUCAGGAUGCACUUGACUUGUUGGACAAGGAGCGAGACUUGGCAAUAGCCCGCUCGGCAAUUUACCAGCAAGACCUGCGCCGCUAUCACAGCCGUCGGGUUAAGAGCAGAACCUUUCAGGAAGGCGACUUGGUGCUCCGGCUCAUCCAGGAUCAGUCUAACAUGCACAAGCUAUCCCCGCCUUGGGAAGGGCCCUUUGUGGUCAGCAAGAAUCUACACAACGGGUCAUAUUAUCUCACCGAUAUUCGAGAGCACAAGGACUCACUUAAAUCGGAGGAGGAGACCCGCCGGCCGUGGAAUAUAGCUCAUCUCUGGCCUUACUAUACUUAAGUUACCAGUUCUUAAGAUACCUUUUUACGAUGUACAUAUUAUAUAAAGCAAUAAAGCAGGACCUCUGUCCUUUUUUCCCAUAAAGAAUGUUUUAUGUCUUCUUUAUCAGGUGAUGCACACUGCCAACAGGGGACGGAUCAUAUCUGAAUCUGGCUUUCCCUUUGGUCCGGCUUAUGAUCAUAUCUGAAUCUAGCCAUGGUCACUUGGGGGCUUCCUGUUCAAACAUAGGUCGUAUUCGAACCAAAGAGAACAUAGUUGUCGAUACCCACUUGAUCGGCAUACUGCCAAACCCACUUGGGGGCUUCUUGAUCAUAUUUGAAUCAUAGCUUAACCCCUUUGGGCCUGACAUGGAUCAUAUUCGAAUCAGCGUCAUUAAACAACUCUUAUGUUCACUUGGGGGCUUCCUAUUCAAACAUAGGUCGUAUUCAAACCAAAGAGAACAUAGCUGUCGAUACCCACUUGAUCGGCAUCGCCAAAGCCACUGGGGGCUAUAUGAUCGUAUCCGAAUCUUAGCUUAACCCCUUUGGAACGGUUCUCUGAUCGUAUUCGAAUCAGGAGCCUGUGAACAUUAUUUAUAAGUAUGAUUACUUUAAAACUUUCAUUGAAACCUUCUUAAGGAGAUGGUUCUUGAUCCUUCCGGUUUCAUAUUGAUUACCUUUAGGUUCUAAAAAGUGCCGGGUAAAGUCUUAUAUGAGCCGAGGAGACUAUUAAAAGGGUCAUAGGUAUGCUGUUGUGAUUAUAUUUUAACUAAUCAUGAACCGGCUUAUACAUGUUAUCUUUUUAUCAUGUUCUGGGUUAUCAAUUCUCUAUAACCCCUUGGCGCAGUGAACCGCCCAGGAAACCUUGCCUGUUUUUAUGUGCAGGAUAAAGCAGAGCAAGUUCAAACAUCAAGGAAAUACGUGGUUAACAUAAGCCAGAGGAAUUUAGUGAGGGCGGUUUACAAAAGCAAUCAGUACCAUAAAGCAUGACAAGCAUUAAGGAGUUUUCUCUAUCUUAUUACAAGACUCCCCGAGUCCAAAUAAGUGAAGCAUUGUUUUUGCAAAAGUUAUAACACAGCUGGCAGCUCAUUCCUCUGGCUGGCUUGAUGACUCCGGGUUAUCCUUCCCCGCCUCUCCUUCGGUUGUUUUGUCCUGGAAGGUGGACGAGGCCCAGUCAAUGCUGCUCAAGGCUUCAAAUUCAGCCUCAUUAUCUAUUAAACUGGCCGGGUCCACUUUAGGGGCAAAGGUAUGCUUACGUGGUUGAGGGAUCAGGCUGACUUGGUCAAAUGGGGCGUUUGGGAUUCUCCGGUUCUCACUAUCGUAACCCGGCAAAUACUUAGUAAGAUCAGUGUCAUUCCCAAUGAGAGUCGCCAGGGGACGUACGGCUUUAACACAGGUAGUGAAGUCUUGGUCGUCAAAAGCAGUGCCGUCCUCUUUAAGGCUUGGAUAUCCGAGAGAGAGAUCAACAAGGUCAAGUUCCAGCACCCAUGCUCUUGCCCGACUUAAUGCAGCCACGGCUCCGGCUCUCGCCGAUGCCCGCCUUAAGUCCUGAAUUCGUUGAGGUAGCACCGAAAGAUGCCUCAACACAUCUUGUAGGAGACGAGGAGUGGUAUUUGAUAAGGCCGUAACGGCCAACGCGCGCUGUGACCCGGAGUACAGCUGCUCUACUAAGGUAUACACCAGCUUAAGCUUGAUCAUCAUAUUUUCCUUCAGAUUGGUACUCCUGGGGCCUGUAUGUUCACAGGUAUAAGAGUAAGCCGGAGGUAAUUAUUACGAUAACCCUUGAAAGAUUACAAUAUUUAUGAGCGACUUACCGAAUAUGGCUGAGACCAUUUGGGAUAUCUGCCGUUUUAAGUCAGACAACUCGUUUGUUGCUUCGGCAAGAGAUGCUUCUGUUGUUUCAGCCCGAGUCACGAAUGAAGCCCUCUCAUCAACCCAAGUUUUCUUCUCCAAUUAAAAAUUUUUCUUCAGCUUCUCUUGUUCGGAGACACUGAAUUCAAACUUGGAGUUGGCUUUCUGAGUUUCGAGCUCUUGGGUUUUCAACUGACUCUUCAGAUCGGCAAUCUCCACCUCAAAUUGACUUAUGGUGGCCUGCAUCGACAUCAGGCUAUGGUAAGAAUCAUGGUAAGAUAACAUUCAAGUCCCAAACACUUUAUAAGUAAAGAUACUUGGCACUUGGGGGCUAAUGUAUGCUUAAAGAAUUUUUUAAUAUAUUUUACCGUGUCAUACAUAUUAAGUCUCAAGCACUUUACAAGUAAAGAUACUUGACACUUGGGGACUAAUGUGUAACCCAAAUUCAAAGUUUCAUGCUAUCACUAGAUUAAACAUAUUCAAUUUAAACCGGACAAAACUAACAGUAAGUUGAUUACUAAGUCUACAACAUAUUCAUUCAUAAGCAAUAGACUUGGGGGCUAGUAUAGUAAGUAAAGUUCAGAAUAAAAGCAUAAGUUAUACCUCAGAUUUAUGCUGUAUUUGCUUCACCAUGUCAAUUUCCAGGUCACGACUAUUGUGCACUUGGUUCAGAUAGCCCGAGACUAUAUCACCAAUACUUAGGUGAGAAUAAUCAGUGAUGUCCUGUUUGGCUUUCUGACGCUGGGCAAACUCCUCCUUGGUAGUGCAUUGGGCAAGAACAGUAGGCCGGCACGGUUCAACAUAUUGGCUCUUCACAAUUUCAACCUCCGGGUCAGUCGUCUUGACCGGGCUAGGAGUUUCCGGGUCAUCCGAGUUGUGGAUAACGUCUUCUGCAGGCGGGUCAGAAGUAGGCACCGGAAUGUCAGAAGCCGGUUCAGGUGGUGGCUGAUGAGUGGAGCUGUCAGGAACGGAAGAGUCAAGCACCGGCUCAGUAACCAUCGGGUCUUGGGACGGCUUAUUCUUCUUCGCCCUCUUGCUGGGUUUUACUUGCAAACUGUCAAUCAAAGUGGAAGGGUAAGCAUCAAAGUAUAAGUAUGGAAAAACUUAAAGUAAGAAAGGUUAUGUUACCUGGGAGCCGUUUUGAAAGCUGGCAUGUUUGAUUGCAUCGACUCAUCAGAAGAAGGGGAGGUAUCCUGAUAGUUGCAGUCAGAUGAAUUGAGAGGUUGGCGAAUCAAACCCUUCAAAGGUAAAACAAAACGUAAAGCGGAGGUAACCUCGGUCCGACGCUUCCUGGUUACGUCGGGUAAGCCGGAGGAGAGCUCUGCGUCCUGGUUGGCCCGAGUCUGUCGCCGAUUUUCAAGCUGUUGUUGCUUCAAAAGAAAUUGAGGAUCUUGGUAAGCUAGAGGGUGUGAAAACCUUACUUUCCGGGUCACCCUUCGGAUUUUUCAUGUUGGCAAAGGCUCUGAGUCGGAGGAAAUUAUAGUUACCUCUUCGCCAACUGCUUGACUGUUCCCAGUAUCCUCCUGAAAGGAUCAAAUUUCAGUAAAGUAAUGACAAAGGAGUUAAAGAAAUAUCAAAAAAGAUUACCUCUUCCUCAUCCGAAGAAGAGUCAUCCAGUUUAAGCAUAUCGGAGGCGCUGGGUUUCUUCUUCUUAGAGGUGCCCGUCCUGGCGGCUUUCCUUUCAGUCUUCUUGGCCACCCUGGCCUGUUUCGCAGCCUCAUGGUCAUACUUGACCUUCCAGAAAUUAUCACUGGCCUGUGGAAACAGAUAAAGAAUCAUAAGUACAGCAAGGUAACAUCUAAAAGAGUAUUUGUGAAGAUUAGUAACUUACCGCAGGAGCCGGGUUCUUCUUGCAGAAGGGAAGUAAACCGAAGGUGUUGCUGGUUACAGUGCCCUCCUUCAAUAGCGACUGGACUGUAGCAUCUACCACAUCAUCUGGUAAGUCCUCAGGGCUAUGACGCAUUGGGUCUUCUUUCUCGCCUGUGUAAGUACACAUUAAGCCAGAGCGGCGGCUUAAUGGUAGUAUCCGCCAGGUGACCCAGACCCGGACCAAAUCGAUGCCACUUAACCCGUUGCCUAAAAGGGCUUUGAUCUUCUUGAUGGUGGAAUUAAGAGGUAGGCGCUCAACAGCAGUCAACUUGUCCGCCAGAUGAUGGUUGGACUCAAGACGCAGGGCACGAAAGCCGGGUAGAGGCUUCUCAUUAGCCGGAGAGGUGUCGUGACAGUAGAACCACGUCUGGUUCCAGUCCUUUGGGUGACUCGGUAGCUCAGCGUAAGGAAAAAGGCAAUCUUUUUGCCGCUAGAUUGAGAUGCCGCCAAGCUCAAGGCUAGGCCCAUUGGCACGUUCAUUCUACCGGUUCAAGUAAAAAAGUUCUCUGAACAGCAGUAGACUUGGUUCCUCUCCUAGGUAUACCUCGCAUAAGACUUGGAAAUUACACAGAUUUGACACAGAAUUGGGUCCAAUGUCUUGAGGCUUUAGUCAAAGAAAUCCAAAACUUCCUUGAAGAAUUUUGAGCCGGGAGGGGCAAAUCCCCGGUUCAUAUGAUCUGUGAAAACUAUUACCUCCCCAUCUUUGGGUUGAGGUAUCUCCUCAGAUGGGUGAGGGGCGCGAUAAGACAUGGCCUCCUUCUUUGGCAGAUGGCCAGACUUCACGAAUUCGGCGAGCUUGCUUUUGGUCACUGUGGAUGGAACCCAAUUGCAAGUCACAGGGGCCUUGGCCGCCUUAGGAGCCAUGAUAAUAGUUGGCCUACGACAAAAUAAGAAAGCUCCGGUUCAACUUUAAUCCGGAGAGAUAUCUAAAUAGUUCACAGUGGCGGCUUAAGAAAGGGGCCUAAUGAUAUAAGGGUGAUUGUGCAAUAAUGUUUAAGCCGCUAUCAGUAUCAAGAGCAAUUCAAGCCGGACACUUAGACAGCAGUGAUAGAAGCAAGUUUUACAGAAGAAACUUUCCGGGUGACAGAAACAAGUUUCACAGACGACAGCUAUUAUCAUGGAUCAAAUUAUUGCUCUGAAAGGAAAAUUUUCUAGACCUAGAAACAGAGCAGAGAAGUUCAUACAUUUGAAGAGGGUUUCUAAGCAAGGAAACUGAGAUCUAUUUCUAUGCAAGAUCAGUACAAACAACUACCGCGGCAGUUCUGUACAGUUUACGACCUAAAUGGGGCGUUGAAGAUGAGAACUAGCGAGGGUUUGUGUCGGGCAGUGAUGAACACCGAUGAACUCAGCGGAGUUCCAAUGUAGAUCUGAGAAAGGGGAGGAGAGGAACUCACGGAUGAAGACGAGCUGCAGAGAUUCGCCAACGUUUUCUGGUCAGAAUCAGGUUGAUGCAGCGGCCUGAGUCGAUGCAGAUGAGGGGGUCGACGGCGGCAGCGGCGGAGCUCGAGUGGCAGAGAGGAGAGGAAGAAGACGACUGGAAGGAGAUGAAUGAAGGACCUAAGUGCACGCCUAUUUAUAGGGAGAGGAUAAUUGAGACGGUGCGGGAAACGAGGAGAUAAGAAUUACUAUCCAGCGGCCCCGACGCCUCGAUUUUCAGAACACUUAAUAAGGCAGAGAUCCGUUGAAGGAUACGACGGAAUAGAAAAUGAAUUAAAGAAAGGAUGGCGUCAGGCCGGGUUAAGAUGGAUCCAGAAGAUGAUGUCAUGACGGGUUAAAAGAAAGCCCUCUGUACAGUCAGAAGACUGAAGAUUUAUUCUUUAGAAGUAUAUUUUAAGAUUAACAUGAACAGGUUCAAAUCAAUCUGGGGUCUAAUGUUGGGGAUAUGACUAUUUGUGUAAGCCGCCCAGGAGGGGCCGGGUUACGCAAAGAGGACUCAUCAGAGGAAGCCCAAGACCAAGCAUGAAGAUGGCGGUUCAAUAAAAGGCUUAAGGCCCACAGGCGGCUUAAGGCCCGUUGUAAACCGCCAUGAUGGCAUGACUUGUAACAUAAGGUAGAUUUAACUAGUCACCGAGCCGGACACUGUUUAUAAGCCAGCCGGGACUCUGUAAGCCGCAGGGCGUCAACCCGUGUAUAUAAGGGGAUGACCUGCUGGCGGCUUAGGGCAAGAAACAACUCAUCAAGAGCUGGGCAUAGCGUAUCUCGCUCCCUGGUCAUCGAAACAUCAAUACCAACCCAACUAGACGUAGGCCUUACCUUCACCGUAAGGGGCCGAACUAGUAUAAACUCUCUCGUGUCCUUUGUCCCGAUUUAACCCCUUCAAGCUUCCUAGUUGCGAUGGCUCCACAACUAAGUCCUUUCACGAGGACAUCUGACGUGACUAUUCCACGACAGCUUGGCAUUCUCAUAUGCUUGGGUUCUCCAUUCAUCAAGUGAGCUAAUAUCAAACAACCUCUUCUCACCAUCAAGUUUGAAGUCAUAAUUGAGCUCUUUAAUAGCCCAAUAUGCCUUAUGUUCAAGUUCAAGAGGUAAAUGACAUGCUUUUCCAUAAACCAUCUUAAAUGGAGACAUACCCAUAGGAUUUUUGUAUGCAAUUCUAUAGGCCCAUAAUGCAUCAUCAAGUUUUUUGGACCAAUUCUUUCUAGAUCUAUUCACAGUCUUUUGCAAAAUUAAUUUGAGAUCUCUAUUGCUCAACUCUACUUGACCACUAGACUGCGGAUGAUAAGGAGAUGCGAUUCUAUGAUUGACAUCAUACUUAGCAAGCAUCUUACGGAAAGCACCAUGAAUAAAGUGUGAACCACCAUCAGUCAUAAGAUAUCUAGGGACUCCAAACCUCGGAAAAAUAACUUCUUUAAGCAUUUUAAUAGAAGUGUUAUGAUCAGCACUACUAGUUGGAAUAUCUUCUACCCACUUAGUAACGUAAUCAACAACAACUAAAAUAUGUGUAUAACCAUUGGAGGCAGGAAAAGGUCCCAUAUAAUCAAAGCCCCAAACAUCAAACGGUUCAAUAACAAGAGAAUAAUUCAUAGGCAUUUCUUGACGUCUACUAAUGUUACCUAUUCUUUGGCAUUCAUCACAAGAUAAGACAAACUUACGAGCAUCUUUGAAGAGAGUAGGCCAAUAAAAACCAGAUUGUAGUACCUUGUGUGCAGUUCUAUCUCCAGCGUGGUGUCCUCCAUAAGAUUCCGAGUGACACUUACGUAGAAUCUGUUCCUGUUCAUGCUUAGGCACACAACGUCUAAUAACACCAUCUACUCCUUCUUUAUAAAGGUGAGGAUCAUCCCAGAAGUAAUGUCUCAAAUCGUAAAAGAACUUUUUCGUUUGCUGGUAUGUGAAACUAGGCGGUAUAUAUUUAGCAACAAUGUAAUUAGCAUAAUCAGCAUACCAAGGAGCAGUACGAGAAGCAUUAACGACCGCUAAUUGUUCAUCAGGGAAGCUAUCAUUAAUAGGCAGUGGGUCAUCAAGAACAUUCUCUAGCCUAGACAAGUUAUCUGCAACGGGGUUCUCAGCUCUCUUUCUAUCAAUAAUAUGCAAGUCAAAUUCCUGGAGCAAGAGAACCCAUCUAAUGAGCCUAGGCUUAGCAUAUUUCUUUUCCAUAAGAUAUUUAAUAGCACCAUGAUCAGUGUGAAUAGUAACUUUGGAAUCAACAAUAUAAGGUCUAAACUUAUCACAUGCAAACACAACUGCUAAGAAAUCUUUUUCAGUAGUAGCAUAAUUUCUCUGGGCAGUAUCAAGAGUCUUACUAGCAUACUGGAUAACAUUCAAUUUCUUAUCGACUCUUUGCCCUAGAAUAGCACCUACGGCAAAAUCACUAGCAUCGCACAUAAUUUCAAAAGGUAAAUUCCAAUCAAGCGGCUGAACAAUAGGUGCAGUGAUCAAAGCUUUCUUAAGUGUUUCAAAUGCUUCUACACAAUCAUCAUCAAAGACAAAAGGAAUAUCUUUUUGCAAUAAAUUAGUCAGAGGCCUAGAGAUUUUAGAAAAGUCCUUAAUGAACCUCCUAUAAAAACCGGCAUGAUCAAGGAAACUUCUUAUACCUUUUAUGUCCUUGGGACACGACAUCUUUUCAAUAGCAUCAACUUUGGCUUUAUCAAUUUCAAUACCUCUCUCGGAGAUCUUGUGCCCCAAGACAAUGCCUUCAUUAACCAUAAAGUGACACUUUUCCCAAUUCAGGACGAGACUAGUGUCUUCGCAUCUCUGCAAAACUCGAUCAAGGUUGCUCAAACAAUCAUCAAAAGAGGAUCCAUAGACGGAGAAGUCGUCCAUGAAUACCUCACAAAUCUUUUCACAAAAAUCAGAGAAUAUAGCCAUCAUGCAUCUUUAAAAGGUAGCAGGUGCAUUACAUAAACCAAAAGGCAUGCGUCUAUAAGCAAAAGUACCAAAAGGGCAAGUAAAAGUAGUUUUAGAUUGAUCCUUCGUUGACACAGGUAUCUGAGAAAAACCAGAAUAACCAUCUAUAAAGCAAAAAUAUGUGUGUUUGGAUAGUCUUUCUAGCAUUUGAUCAAUAAAAGGUAAAGGGUAAUGAUCUUUCUUAGUGGCUUUAUUUAACUUACGGAAAUCAAUUACCAUCCUAUAACCUGUAAUAAUUCUUUGCGGGAUCAAUUCAUCUUUAUCAUUAGGAACAACGGUAAUACAUCCCUUUUUAGGAACACAAUGAACAGGGCUUACCCAUUCACUAUCAGCAACGGGAUAAAUAACACCUGCCUCAAGGAGCUUUAGUAUCUCCUUUCUUACCACUUCCUUCAUCUUGGGAUUUAGUCGUCUUUGAGGAUCUCUAACUGGUUUGGCAUCGUCCUCCAAUGUAAUUUUGUGUUGGCAUAAUGUGGGACUAACGCCCUUAAGAUCAUCCAGAGUAUAUCCAAUAGCAGCUCGGUGCUUCUUCAGAGUUUUCAAUAAUCUUUCUUCUUCUUUCUCUGAAAGGUUAGCACUAAUAAUAACAUGAUAUAUUUCUUUUUCAUCUAGAGAAGCAUACUUAAGAUUAUCAGGUAACGGUUUGAGUUCAAACACGGGAUCACCCUUGGGCGGAGGGGGAUCCCCAAGAAUUUCAACGGGAAGGUUAUGUUUCAGCAUAGGUUCCUAUUUAAGGAACACUUCAUCUAUUUCCUCCCUUUCCUUCAUAAACAUAUCGUUUUCAUGGUAUAGCAAAUAUUGUUCUAACGGAUCAGUUGGAGGAACAACAAUGGAAGCAAGACCAAUAAUUUCAUCCUUUUUAGGUGGUUCCCUAUCACGAGGUUGUCUACUAAACUUAGCAAAAUUAAACUCAUGAGACAUACCAUCUAUGCCAACAGUGACAAUAUUCUUUUCACAAUUAAUCUUAGCACUAGCUGUAUUCAAGAAGGGUCUACCAAAAAUAAUGGGACAAAAAUCAUCUUGUGGGGAACCAAGAACAAGAAAAUCAGCAGGGUAUUUAACCUCCCCACACAAAACUUCAACAUCUCUAACAAUCCCAAUAGGUUUAAUGGUAUCCCUAUUAGCAAGCUUAAUAGUAACAUCUAUAUCUUCUAAUUCAAUGGGUGCAAUGUCGUGCAUAAUUUAUUUAUAUAGAUCAUAAGGUAUCACACUAGCACUAGCACCCAUACCACAUAAGCCAUGAUAACAAUGAUCUCCUAUUUUAACAGAAAUAACAGGCGUGCCUACGACAGGUCUACGUGUCUUAGUAUCAGGUCUAGCAAUAUUGUCUGUCUCACCACAGAAAGAAAUAACAUGCCCAUCUAAAUCCUCAUCCAAGAGAUCUUUAACCAUAGCAAUACUAGGUUCAACAUUAAUUUGCUCAGGAGGUGUAUAAGUCCUAGUAUUACUCUUACGAACAACAGUCGAAGCUUUAACAUGAUCCUUUAUCCUAACAGGAAAAGGAGGUUUUUCAACAUAAGCAGUAGGAACAAUAGGAUCACUAUAGGUAAUAGUCUUUUCUUCGACUGUAAUAGGUGCAACUACUUUCACUUCAACAGGAGGAUUAUAUUUAAACCACUUCUCCUUAGGGAGAUCAACGUGAGUAGCAAAAUAUUCACAGAAAGUAGCUACUAUCUCAGAGUCAAGUCCAUACUUAGCGCUAAAUCCACGGAAAGCAUCGGUAUCCAUAAAAGAUUUAACACAAUCGAACUUAGGUGUCAUACCUGACUCCUUACCAUCGUCGGAACCCCAAUCUUCAGAGGUGCGUUUAAUUCUUUCCAAUAAGUCCCAUUUGAAAUCAAUAGUCUUCAGCAUAUAAGAACCAGCACAGGAAGUAUCGAGCAGGUUGCAAUUAUCAAGAGAAAGCCGAGCAUAAAAAUUCUGAAUAAUCAUUUCCCGAGAGAGCUCCUGAUUGGGGCAUGAAUAUAACAUUGACUUAAGCCUCCCCCAAGCUUGAGCGAUGCUUUCUCCUUUGCGAGGCCAGAAAUUAUAUAUGUAAUUACGAUCACGAUGAACAAGAUGCAUAGGAUAGAACUUCUGGUGAAAUUCCAACUUCAACCGCUUAUAGUUCCAAUAUCUCGUAUCAUCACAUAGCCUAUACCAUGUCAUUGCAUCUCCCUUCAAAGAUAAAGGGAAGACCUUCCUUUUGACAACAUCAUCGGGAAUACCUGCAAGCUUAAAUAAUCCACAAACUUCAUCCACAAAGAUGAGGUAUAAGUCGGGAUGCAAUGUUCCGUCUCUUGCAAAAGGAUUAGCUAGCAGUUUCUCUAUCAUACCCGAAGGAAUCUCAAAAUGAAUAUUUUCAUAAGGUUCAGUAGGUUGAUGUUCACCUAUUGGCUCUUAUGGUUGGGUGAAGAUACCCCAGGCAAGCCCCUCAAAGGAUUAGUUUCCAUAGUGACAAGUAACAGUAAAUUUCAGCACACUAUAUAAAUGUUUCCUUACCAAGUUCCACUCACCAAGAGCACUAUGCUCCCCGGCAACGGCGCCAGAAAAGAGUCUUGAUGACCCACAAGUAUAGGGGAUCUAUCGUAGUCCUUUCGAUAAGUAAGAGUGUCGAACCCAACAAGGAGCAGAAGGAAAUGAUAAGCGGUUUUCAGUAAGGUUUUCUCUGCAAGCACUGAAAUAGUAGGUGAUAGAUAGUUUUGUGAUAAGAUAAAUAGUAACAAGCAAAAAGUAAAUAAAGUAAAUAAAGUGCAGCAAGGUGGCCCAAUCCUUUAUGUAGCAAAGGAUAAGCCUGGACAAAUUCUAAUAAUGAAGAAGGAGCUCCCGAGGACACAUUGGGAAUUAUCGUCAAGCUAGUUUUCAUCACGUUCAUAAGAUUCGCGUUCGGUACUUUGAUAAUUUGAUAUGUGGGUGGACCGGUACUUGGGUACUGCCCUAACAUGGACAAGCAUCCCACUUAUGAUUAACCCCUAUUGCAAGCAUCCGCAACUACAAAAAGGAGUAUUAAGGUAAACCUAACCACAUCAUUAAACAUAUGGGUCCAUAUCAACCCCUAACGAAGCAACGCAUAAACUAGGGUUUAAGCUUCUGUCACUCUAGCAACCCAUCAUCUACUUAUUACUUCCCUAUGCCUUCCUCUAGGCCCAAAUAAUGGUGAAGUGUCAUGUAGUCGACGUUCACAUAACACCACUAGAGGAAAGACAACAUACAUCUCAUCAAAAUAUCGAACGAAUACCAAAUUCACAUGACUACUAAUAGCAAGACUUCACCCAUGUCCUCAGGAACAAACGUAACUACUCACAAAGCAUAUUCAUGUUCAUAAUCAGAGGGGUAAUAAUAUGCAUAAAGGAUCUGAACAUAUGAUCUUCCACCAAGUAAACCAAAUAGCAUCAACUACAAGGAGUAAUCAACACUACUAGCAACCCACAGGUACCAAUUUGUGGUUUUGAUACAAGAUUGGAUACAAGAGAUGAACUAGGGUUUUGAGAGGAGAUGGUGCUGGUGAAGAUGUUGAUGGAGAUUGACCCCCUCCCGAUGAGAGGAUCGUUGAUGAUGACGUUGGUGAUGAUUUCCCCCUCCCGGAGGGAAGUGUCUCCGGCAGAACAGCUCCGCCAGAGCCCUAGAUUGGUUCCGCCAAGGUUCCGCCUCGUGGCGGUGGAGUUUCGUCCCGUACCCACGAUUUUUUCCAGUGUAAAAGCAAUGAUAUAGCAGAAGAUGGACGUGGGAGGCGCACCAGGGGCCCCAGGAGAUAGGGGGCGCGCCCUAUAGGAGGGGGCGCGUCCCCUAUCUCCUGGAUAGGGUGUGGGCCCUCUGGCGUAUUUCUUUUGCUAAAUUUUUUUAUUAAUUCCAAAAAGUUGUUUCGUGGAGUUUCAGGACUUUUGGAGUUGUGUAGAAUAGGUUUCUAACGUUUGCUCCUUUUCCAGCCAGAAUUCCAGCUGCCGGCAUUCCCCCUCUUCAUAGUAAACCUUGUAAAAUAAGAGAGAAUAGCCAUAAGUAUUGAGAUAUAAUGUGUAAUAACAGCCCAUAAUGCAAUAAAUAUCGAUAUAAAAGCAUGAUGCAAAAUGGACGUAUCAGCCUGCAUGUUGGCUUGUUCCUUGCGUGUGUGCAUAGCAGUUGCUGCAGCGUAGUUCGCAGAUCGUGCGGCAGCGCAGCUGCGGCAUGGUGCUAGUGGGGAAGGCUGCGCCGUGCGCCCUCCACGGUCGGUCGCCCCUGGCAGAGCGCGGGCCGCGAGCAGAGUGGAGUGGAGGUCUUCCUCGUCAGCGGGUGCUGCUGAGGAGGCCUGGACGACCCAGUGCUCGACAUGCGCCCUCGGGGCGUCGGCCAUGGCGUCGAUGGAGCAGCGGAGAACUGGUCGAUGGAAGAUAAGAUCCGACGCACCCCUACCUGGCGCGCCAAAUGUCAGAUUGUGGGAUCCGCAAACCCUUGAGAGGUUCAAACUCUGGGGUGUGUGCGGAGAUCUCAACCUACCCAGCCUGCCUACUCGCAAUCCUCCUAAGUCUAGCGCGACAAGCUCAAAAAGACAAAGAGACACAGCAGUUUAUCCUGGUCCGGGCCACCUUGCGGUGUAAUAUCCUACUCCAGCGUUUUGGUGGAUUGCCUCAAAGGGCUGAGGAUGAACUAGUACAGUGGAUGAACUGGCCUCAGGAGGUGAGGUGUUCUUGAGCUGGUGUGGUGUGAGAUAGUUCGACCCGUCUCCCUUUCUAUGGUGCUGGCUAGUCCUAUUUAUAGUGGCCUUGGUCCUCUUCCCAAAUUGGCGGGAAGGGAUCCCACAACGGCCGGAUUUGAAAGGGGACAAAUAGUACAGCUUAUCCUGACAAAAGUAGUCUUCACUCGCGAAAAGCCUCUAGGUGUGACGCUGCGUUGGGCCCGUCGAUGACCUUCGUCCUGCUGUCCUGCCGGUCUUGGUCUCGUUGCACCAGAAUGGAAACCUUUGGCUGAUUCCUCGGGACUCCGUGCUUGUGUCCUGCCUCCCUUGCACCGAAGAGGAAACAUGUGCUCUGCGCCCGCCUGGCCUUGGUCGUCAUGGCUCACGUUAGCUGAGCCUUGUGAGGUGAACCUUGCAUAGAACUCUCCGCCCCUCGGGAGCCCUCCUGGGGAGGCCAACCCCUCAGGGGUCUUGGCGUCGUCCGCCUCGCGAGGCUUGGCCCCUCGCGAGGGUCUUGUGUUGUUGGUGCUGAAGCUGGGCCGUACCAGGCCGUCGAUGGAUCCACAUGGUGGGCCGUAGGCAGGCAGGGCUGGAUACCCUCGUAUCUAGGACGCUGACACCUCAUAAGACCAAUGCAUAUUUCUGUGGCAAAUGCAUCCUUCAGGUCAAUAUGAACCAUUCCUGCUCAAAACAUACGCCCAUUUAGGACAGAACAUAUGCACGUCUAGUUUAAAAAAACCUUUUACAGCACAAGUUCAACUUGUAGAUAAAUUAACAGUCAGGAAAGAAAGUUUAACCAUGUGAAUAGAUGGGCCGUUCACUGUAGAUCUUGUUGCAGUUGAAGAUGAAGGUACCUCGGCUAUGGUGUGCUUCUUCAAUUGUACCAUUGUAGAACCAUAAAUUGCCUGGACGGAUGCACUUGAAGAUAUAGUUUAAAAACAAAAAUUUAGAAGUGGUACUAAUCUUAUGUGCAAGAAAUCUGUACCUGAGAAGUAGUUUUCUUAAGAUUACGAGGAUCUUGACCUAUAUCGAUCUGACUGGCAUCAUAUGAAUCCUGUGGUUUUUCCCUUGAAGAGGAAAGGGCGAUGCAGCAAAGUAGAGAUAAGUAUUUCCCUCAGUUAGAAAACCAAGAUAUCAAUCCAGUAAGAGAUAACACACAAAUCACCAAGACUUGCACAAACAAUCAAACAACUUGCACCCAACGCGAUAAAGGGGUUGUCAAUCCCUUCACGAUUACUUGCAAAAGUGAGAUCUUAUAGAGAUAGAUGAACAAAAGAUAAAAUAUUUUUGGUAUUUUUGGUUUAUAGAUCGGAAAGUAAAAGAUUGCAAAAUAGUAGAUCGGAAACUUAUAUGAUGGAAAAUAGACCUGAGGCCAUAGGUUUCACUAGUGGCUUCUCUCAAGAUAGCAAAUAAUACGGUGGGUGAACAAAUUACUGUUGAGCAAUUGAUAGAAAAGCGCAAAGUUAUGACGAUAUCUAAGGCAAUGAUUAUAAAAUAUAGUCAUCACGUCCGUGUCAAGUAGACCGACUCCUGCCUGCAUCUACUACUAUUACUCCACACAUCGACCGACUCCUGCCUGCAUCUAGAGUAUUAAGUUCAUGAAGAACAGAGUAACACAUUAAGUAAGAUGACAUGAUGUAGAUGAAUAAACUCAAGCAAUAUGAUGUAAACCUCAUCUUUCUAUCCUCGAUGGCAACAAUACAAUACGUGCCUUGCUGCCCCUAUUGUCACUCGGAGAGGACACCACAAGAUUGAACCCAAAGCUAAGCACUUCUCCCAUUGCAAGAAAAACCAAUCUAGUUGGCCAAACUAAACCAAUAGUUCGAAGAUAAUUACAAAGAAAUCAAAUCAUGCAUAUAAGAAUUUAGAGAAGAUUCAAAUAAUAUUCAUAGAUAAGCUAAUCAUAAAUCCACAAUUCAUCGGAUCUUGACAAACACACAGCAAAAGAAGAUUACAUCGGAUAGAUCUCCAAGAACAUCGAGGAGAACAUGGUAUUGAGAAUCAAAGAGAGAGAAGAAGCCAUCUAGCUACUAGCUAUGGACCCGUAGUUCCGAGGUAAACUACUCAUGCUUCAUCGGAAGGGUAAUGGUGUUGAUUUAGAAGCCCUCCAUGAUCGAACCCCCCUCCGGCAGGACGCUGAAAAAGGCCCCUAGAUGGGAUCUCACGGGUACAGAAGGUUGCAGCGGUGGAAAAGUGUUUUCGUGGAUGCUUCUGGUGGUUUGGGGAUAUUUGGGAAUAUAUAGGGUGAAGAAGUAGGUCGGUGGAGUCACAGGGGGCCCACAAGGCAGGGGGCAUGCCCUCCCCUCUUGUGGCCGCCUCAUGGCUCUUCCGACUUGAUCUUCAAGUCUCCUAGGUGUCUUCUGGUCCAAGAAAAAUCAUCGCGAAGGUUUUAUUCCGUUUGGACUCCGUUUGAUAUUCCUUCUCUGUGAAGCUUAAAAACAAGGAAAAAAUAGAAACUGGCACUGGGUUCUAGGUUAAUAGGUUAGUCCCAAAAAUUAUAUAAAAUAACGUAUUAAUGCAUAUAAAACAUCCAAAACAUAUAAUAUAAUAGCAUGGAACAAUAAAAAAUUAUAGAUACAUUGGAGACGUAUCAACCACAUGUUUUCUCAGCGCACGUUUGGCUAUAGGAGAAUCGUCCUCUGAUGUUUCUUCUUUAAUCCUGCAGUACAUAUGUGAUGGUCUGGCAGCAGUAGUUGUAGAGUUGGACACGACUUAUUACUAUGCAUGGUCAUAAAUAAUGUGAACAAAGAUUCACAGGGUAAUAUAUACUCAUAAGUAGAUUGUAUUAGUAAGAAUAAGAAGUAGUACUGCACUACCAAAUCUAGAACAACAUGUUAUAUUAAGAAGAAUAAGAAGAACUCAUUCAAUUGUGAAAAACAGUACAUAAGAUUUAAUAUGAACCUGCAUACUAAAUUACUAUAACCCUAGAUAAAACUAUCUACAGUACCCCAUAUAAUACGACUAAUUUAGUAAGAAACUACAUACUAAUUUGGUAUAAUCCUAGAUAGAAUUAGAUGAUUACGGAGCCUACAAUUUAAUUACUUCUUUCAGAGAACAAUAUGUGAGAACAUAAAAGCACGUGCAAAUCUUAAAAGGGGCGGUGGGGCGACCGGUGGCUAGAGUUGUUACCUGGUAGUUGCUACGUCUUGAGCUUGCGUUGGUUUUCCUCGAAGAGGAGAGGGUGAUGCAGCGAUAGUCGCGUAAGUAUUUCCCUCGGUUUUUGAGAACCAAGGUAUCAAUCCAGUAGAGGGCUCCUUAAAAGUCCCACGCACCUACACAAACAAACUGAGAACUCGCAACCAACGCAAUAAAGGGGUUGUCAAUCCCUUCACGGCCACUUGCGAAAGUGAGAUCUAAUAAAGAUAGUAAGAUAGGAUAAAUAUAUUUUUGGUAUUUUAUAAUAUAGAUGCAAAAAGUAGAGAUGCAAAUAAAAGUAGAUUGAAAGCAAAUAUGAUAAGAGAUAGACCCGGGGGCCAUAGGUUUCACUAGUGGCUUCUCUCAAGAUAGAAUAAGUAUUACAGUGGGUGAACAAAUUAGUGUCGAGCAAUUGAUAGAAAAGCGCAUAGUUAUGAGAUUAUCUAGGCAUGAUCAUGUAUAUAGGCAUCACGUCCAUAACAAGUAGACCGACUCCUGCCUGCAUCUACUACUAUUACUCCACACAUCGACCGACUCCUGCCUACAUCUAGAGUAUUAAGUUCAUAAGAACAGAGUAACGCAUUAAGCAAGAUGACAUGAUGUAGAGGGAUAAACUCAAGCAAUAUGAUAUAAACCCCAUCUUGUUAUCCUCGAUAGCAACAAUACAAUACGUGACUUGCAACCCUUUCUGUCACUGGGUAAGGACACCGCAAGAUUUAACCCAAAGCUAAACACUUCUCCCAUGGCAAGAAAGAUCAAUCUAGUAGGCCAAACCACACUGAUAAUUAGAAGAGACUUGCAAAGAUAACUCAAUCAUACAUAAAAGAAUUCAAAGAAGAUUCAAAUAUUAUUCAUAGAUAAACUUGAUCAUAAACCCACAAUUCAUCGGAUCUCGACAAACACACCGCAAAAAGAGUUUACAUCGAAUGGAUCUCCACAAGAGAGGGGAGAACAUUGUAUUGAGAUCCAAAAAGAGAGAAGAAGCCAUCUAGCUAAUAACUAUGGACCCGUAGGUCUGUGGUGAACUACUCACAACUCAUCGGAGGGGUAAGGAUGUUGAUGUAGAAGCCCUUCGUGGUCGAUUCCCCUCCGGCAGAGUGCCGGUGAAGGCUCCAAGACGAGAUCUCGCGGAUACAGAAGGUUACGGUGGUGGAAAUUGUGUUUCGUCCUCGUCCUGGAUGUUUUCGGGGUACGUAGGUAUAUAUAGGAGGAAGAAGUACGUCGGUGGCCGCCCGAGGGGCCCACGAGACAGGGGGCGCACCCUAUGGGGGGGGGCCCUCCUAUCCCGUGGGAGCCUCGGCAGCUUCUUGGCUUGCACUCCAAGUCCUCUGGAUCACGUUCGUUCCAAAAAUCAUGCUCCCGAAGGUUUCAUUCCGUUUGGACUCCGACUGAUAUUCCUUUUCUUCGAAAUACUGAAAUAGGCAAAAAAAAUAGCAAUAUGGGCUGGGCCUCCGGUUAGUAGGUUAGUCCCAAAAAUGAUAUAAAUGUGUAAAAUAAAGCCCAUAAACAUCCAAAAGGGGUAAUAUAAUAGCAUGGAACAAUAAAAAAUUAUAGAUACGUUGGAGACGUAUCAGUAGUCUAGGAUUAGGUUUUGGGGUCGAUGCGGGAAGUUUACAUUGUUUGCUGCUUUGAAGCACGCCGACCAUGUCGGACGCCUGGGAGGGAUCCAUUUGGCCGCCACUAGUGGACUAGAUCUGCGGAAGAAGAGACAUAUGAGGGGACGGUGUGAAUGAAGAUGUGGGUUCAUUUGGUGAAUUGGGAAGAAGAUUUUACGGUGGGUUCGGGGAAAAUGAGCGCGGCAUUUAAAAUAGUUGGAGGGAACAAAAAAGAAGAAGAGAGGGUACGAAAGGGCGGAGGGAACACAUUUUUUGCGUCCAACGAGAAUAUUAAAGGAAGGUGGAACCUUUUUAUUUUUUAGAAGAGGUUUAUUUGUUGUGCCAAGGUCUAGUGAACAAGUUUUCAAUGAAUCAUGUUCUUUUUCUUGUACAUGACAAACCAGCAAUAAUUUAUAUUAGAUCAUGUAAUACAUCUUUGUCCAUGUGAAAUUUGAACUGACGUUACCACUUGACAUGUCCUGAUGGUUGUUCACUCCCCAUUUCAAAAUCUAGAUGCCACACACAUUUGUACCUCCUACUAAUACUACUUCCAUACCCCUAGAGUAACAUGUUCUCCUGGAUUCAAACAACUUAUUGUAGAUGCGUUUUCUCAUUCAUUGUGGUACUUCCUUUUCAAUUUCCAUGUACUCAUAACCAUUUGAAAAUAAAGAUGGUAUGCCAUUUUGUACCUGCUACUAACAGUACCUCCAUACCCCUAGUGCUCACAUGUUCUCCCUGAUUCAAACAACUUAGUGUAGAUGUGUUUUCUCAUUCAUUUUGGCAUGUCAUUUCAUUUUCCAUGUACUCAUAACCAUUUGAAUAUCAAGAUGGUACACCCUUUUGUACCUGCUACUAACACUACCUCCAUACGCCUAGUGCUCACAUGUUCUCCUUGAUUCAGGCAACUUAUUGUAUAUUAGUUUUCUCAUUCAUUGUGGCAUUUCCUUUCAUUUUCCAUGUACUCAUAACCAUUUUAAAAUUUAAAUGGUACGCCCUUUUGUACCUCGUACUAACACUACUUCCAUACCCAUAGUGCACACAUUCUCCUUAAUUCAAAGAACUUAUUGUAUAUGUGUUUUCUCAUUCAUUCUGGUACUUCCUUUCAUUUUCCAUGUACUCAUAACCAUUUCAAAAUCAAGAUGUUACACUCUUUUGUAGCGCCUACUACCACUACUUCCAUACCCCUAGUGCACACAUGUUCUCCUUUUAUACCCCCUAGUAACACUACUUCCAUACCCCUAGUGCACACAUGAUGUAUUGAUUAAAACAUCUUAUUAUUGCAACUUUUAUAUUGCCAAAAGUGAUUUUCUUCGUAAUCAUGAUUCAAAAUUUGGGCUUUUUUGUAUGGGGCAUUAAUAUCGGCUUUUUAAACAUGUACAUAAUGCAGAGAAGAAAAUGCAAACUCUUGGGUGUGAUUUGCUUCGAAACAUGUACAUGAAUGAACCAAGAUACGUGUAUAGUGUGCACAAGUAGAAGUAAGAUCCAUGUUACAUCGACCAUGCCCACUUGUCAGAUACAUCUACCAUUCACUGUGAUUGCUUUUUGUUUUGUAAAAAAAAUCAGUUGCAAUUUUAGAAAGUGGACAUGCCUACUUCAGAACAAACAGAUGACAAUUUCGUCGCCACGUCAAUUUUGGAUAAAUUUGGAACACAUUUCCUUCAAUUGGUUGUUUAUCUGUAGAAAUCAUAUGGCUUUGUGCUCUGCAUACGAUUGAAUAAAACAUGUUAAAGUCUGGAUGGGAAGAUCAAUUUCAUCACAAAGUUCAGUUUCUAUUCAGACAGUGGACAUGCCUACUUCAGAACAAACAGAUCGCAUUGUGGUCGGCACAUCAAUUUUGGAUGAAUUAGCAACACGUUUGCACGCUAUUUUCAGCCUAAAGCACUCUAAAUAGAUAACACAUUCAUUCCUCAAACUUUUUGGGCACGAAUCUGAAGAUGAAUGGUAAAUACAUUUGAGGGGAAUUUAUCCUCUACUCAAAAUGCACCCCCACUAGUACUAGUCCUCGGCGUCUGCAAUUACUUUGGUGCGCUACCAGCUUUCAUCGCCAUCACUUACUCUUCCCAUGAGCCCAGUCGGCAAUGUCGCAGAUGCCCUCGAGGGCACGCUGUUCGUCGGCAUAGAACUUCCGCCUUACUUUGUCAGGGCCAAGGAAGUAUAGCAUUGCGAUUUCGCAGGACCUGUGAAUGAUGGUGGAGUCCGUCUCAUGAUCAGUUUGAACAGUGCUGAGACUCUCAAACGACACCUGCAAGGCAGCGACACAUGCAACUCCUCCACCACCAUCGGAGGCAGCUCCGCCGCAAUCGCCGGAAGCAAAUCGCUGACCGCCGGCUCAUCGUCGUUUACUUGUAGUCAUCGUCCUCUAUCUUCAUCUCCUCCUAAUCAUCGUGCGUCUCCGUCGCUGCAUGGUCCUCCUUCAUCAAUGCCUCCUCUUGUGCAAUCUCACUUCGCGCGGCAUCGAGCUCUUCCGGAGAAGGAUCUAAUGGGGCAUAUGGGGAACAAGGCAGGGAGGGGGGGUGGAGAUGGAUGGAUAUCACGUGAUUCCAUCUGCCGUCAAUAUUUGUUGUAGGUGGUGAUUUUCAGACAAACCAUGGUCGGGGGUUGAUAUGUGCAGGCCGCCAGAAUUGGUCGGUGUAAGGCGGUUCUUGCUGGGAAACAUAGCAUGCAAUUUCAAAAAAAUUCCUACGCUCACGCAAGAUCUAUCUAGGAGAUGCAUAUCAACGAGAGGGGGAGAGUGUGUCCAUGUACCCCUGUAAACAGAAAGCAGAAGCAUUAACUUAACAUGGUUGAUGUAGUCGAACAUCUUCUCGAAUCAACCGAUCAAGUACCAAACGUACGACACUUCCGAGUUCUGCACAUGUUCAGUCGAUGACAUCCCUCAAACUCUUGAUCCAUUAGAGGUACGAAGGAGUAAAUGAGUUCCGUCAGCACGACGGCGUGGUGACGGUGAUGGUGAUGUGAUUCACGCAGGGCUUCGCCUAAGCACUACAACAAUUUGACCGGAGGAGUAAACGGUGGAGGGGGGCACCGCACACGGCUAAGAAACAACUUUUGUUCUUUGGGGUGCCCCUUGCCCCCGUAUAUGAAGGAGGGGGAGGGGAGAGGGCCGGCCAGGGCGCGCCCCCAAGGGGGGAGUCCUACUAGGACUCCAAGUCCAAUUCGCCCCCCUUCGUUUCUGAAGGGGUAAAAAGGGGGAAGGGAGAGAGGGAGGGAGAAGGAAAGGAGAGCCGCGCCCCCUCCCCUAGUCCAAUUCAGACUCCCCAUGGGGGGGUGCCACCUCCUGUGGCCUGCCUCCUCCUCUCCCCUAUGGCCCAUGAGGCCCAUUACUUCUCCCGGGGGUUCCGGUAACCCCUCGGUACUCCGAAAAAAUAACCGAAACACUCUGGAACCAUUUCAGUGUUCGAAUAUAACCUUCCAAUAUAACAAUCUUUACCUCUAGACCACUUCGAGACUCCUCGUCAUGUAUGUUAUCUCAUCUAGGACUCAAAACAACCUUCGGUCACCAAAAACACAUAACUCAUCUAAUACAUAUCGUCAUCGAAUGUAAAGCAUGCAGACCCUACGGGUUCGAGAACUAUGUAGACAUGACCGAGACACCUCUCCGGUCAAUAACCAAUAGCGGAACCUGGAUGCUCAUAUUGGUUCCCACAUAUUCUAUGAAGAUCUUUAUCGGUCGAACCGCAAUGUCAACAUACGUUAUUCCCUUUGUCAUCGGUAUGUUGCUUACCCGAGAUUCGAUCGUCGGUAUCUUCAUACCUAGUUCAAUCUUGUUACCGGCAAGUCUCUUUACUCGUUCCGUAGUGCAUCAUCCCAUAACUAACUCAUUAGUCACAUUGCUUGCAAGGCUUCAUAUGAUGUGCAUUACCGAGAGGGCCCAGAGAUACCUCUCUGAUACUCGGAGUGAAAAAUCCUAAUCUUGAUCUAUGCCAACCCAACAAACACCUUCGGAGAUACAUGUAGAGCAUCUUUAUAAUCAUCCAGUUACGUUGUGACGUUUGAUAGCACACAAGGUAUUCCUCCGGUGUCCGGGACUUGCAUAAUCUCAUAGUCGGAGGAAUAUAUAUUUGACAUGAAGAAAGCAGUAGCAAUAGAACUGAACGAUCAUUAUGCUAAGCUAACGGAUGGGUCUUGUCCAUCACAUCAUUCUACUAAUGAUGUGAUCCCGUUUAUGAGAUGACAACUCGUGUCCAUGGCUAGGAAACUUAACCAUCUUUGAUUAACGAGCUAGUCUAGUAGAGGCAUACUAGGGACGCGGUGUUUUGUCUAUGUAUUCACACAUGUAUCCAGUUUUCGGUUGAUACAAUUCUAGCAUGAAUAAUAAACAUUUAUCAUGAAUAAGGAAAUAUAAAUAACAACUUUAUUAUUGCCUCUAGGGAAUAUUUCGGUCUCCAGUGUUCCGAGGCCAUGUCUGUAUAUUCUAGGCUCGUCAAGUUUAACUUGAGUAUUCUGCAUGUGCAAAACUGGCUUGCACCCGUUGUAUUUGAACGUAGAGCUUAUCACACCCGAUCAUGCAGUGUCUCAGCACGAAGAACUUUCACAAUGGUGCAUACUUGGGGAGAACACUUAUACCUUGAAAUUUUAGUAAGGGAUCAUCUUAUAAUGCUAUCGCCGUACUAAGCAAAAUAAGAUGCAUAAAAGAUAAACAUCACAUGCAACCCAAAUAUGUGACAUGAUAUGGCCAUCAUCAUCUUCUGCUUUUGAUAUCCAUCACCAAAGCAACGUCAUGAUCUCCAUCGUCACCAGCUUGACACGUUGAUCUCCAUCAUAGCGUCGUGGUCGUCUCGCGAACCAUUGCUUCUACGACUGUCACUCUGCUUACCGAUAAAGUAAAGCAAUUACAUAGCUUGUUACGAAGUGGAUAUUGUAACAAAACAAUUUAUAGACAACAUGGAGGUUACUGAAGGGAGCAGAGCAACCUGGGAAGAGAUGUGGUUUGUCGUCGGCUUUGUUGAUCAAAUUUGGAUGCUUGCGGACGGUUACAAUGCUGUACCAAGAGAUCAUUCCUACGUGCCCCUGCUGCAUACUUUGAAAAAGACAAACUUGACAAGAGAAUCAUGGUUAGAAUUGUAUCUACUCUCAUUAUCUUCAGAUAGUCCAAGUACUUAUGUAGAUUGCUUAAAGUGUUCAAAUUGUGUUAUGCCACCAGAUAAAUCCGCAAUGUGUUGUUCCUAAGGAUGUUAGUGCAAACGGAGAGCUGACCAUUGUUCUCCAUCUUAUGUGAACAUUAGUUCCACUUCAUACUCAGCUUCAGGACAAGGAGAUGAAAGCAUCGUCCUUAAUGGGUGGAGCAAAGUAGUCGACGUGUAUGACAUGGAUAUUGGAGAUAGGAUGAUCUUUGUGCUACACCAUGGACGUGCAGGGACCUUUCUCUUCCUCGAUUUUAUUACUGUUGAACCAUAUGAGUAGUUUCGACUCUCUCUCAUGUUGCCUCUAUGAUGGUCCAUCUUUGUAUGUCAUGUUUUAUGCUACUAUUUGGUACUGAUGUGAUGAUGAUGAACAUGUAUGUUCUACGAAGUAGUAUUAAGAUAUUAUGCCCCUUUGUAAUACCGAGAGCACGCAUGGAGAAAUAAUCAAUGAAUUUUGAUACGAGCAUCUCAACCCUAAACACUGGAAAUUUGAUUCUAAUAUGUUAUAAACUAUGCCAUGGUAGAAUUUAUAAGGUACUACGACUUGAACACCAGCAAGCCAUUUUGUUAUCCAUUUUUCUUAACCCGCCUAACAUUGUUUGUGACACGGAACAUUUUCUGUGACACUACAAAUUAUCCAGGAAAAUGGACAUGCUUAGUGACGCCCAAAAGCGUCGCCGCACCAAGGUUUUUGUCACUGAAUAAAGCAAAUUUUGUAGUGAUGGUAUCCCGGAGAGGUGAGUAGGUUGGAGGGAAACAAGAAGGCGAGUGUUACGUAGGUUCGUGCCCUCUUGAUGGAGAUAAAACCCUACUCCUACGCGGUGUAUAUUGUGAUAUGGGUGUACAAAGUAUAGGUAAAGAACCAAAGGAAUGUAUCUAUGAUCAUCGACUAGCUCGGCCCUACCAAGGGCCCUAGGGCUACACAUCCUAGUCGGCUACGUCGGUGGAGGGGCAGUCCUCCAUGGAUCCAUCUUCCCUGAUUGGACGACAAGGCUUCUGGAGUAUUUUUUGUACAAUGUCAUGGGCCACCCAUCAUGGCCCAGGGGCGGAGCCAGCCUAGGGGUCCUCAAACCAGCCCACCAGGGCAUCACCCGACAUGGUGAGGCACCACCUAGGUCGUAACACAGUCAAGUGUUAUAGCGAUCAAACCGACUACCAUAGCAAGUCAAAUCAACUAUAGCAGCGAGCCGGAUCAAGGCACUAUAGCGAACAUGUUUGGAAAGAAAACCAAAAACAAAAAUUGAAAAACGCAAACAUUUUAUGAAAUUUCGAACAUUUUUUUAGAAAACACGAUAAUCUUUUGAAAAUAGGAACAAAAUUUGAAAUUAAAAAACAUUUCUUGAAAACUUUGAACACUUUUUGAAUAGACCAAAUAUAUUUUUGAAGAACAUGAACAUUCUUAGAAUUUUUUGAUAAUGCGAACCUUUUCUAGUUUCAUUAGUUUUUAAAAGCAUAAACAUUGUUUCAAAAUGGUGAAUAUUUUAGAAAGUACAAGAAUUUUCCUCAAAUUAGCAAAUCUUUUUUGAAAACACAGACAUUUUCCGGAUGUAAUUUGUUAAUUUAAAAAAAAUGAAAAGGAAAACCAAUAAAAAACAAAAAAAAGCAUAAAGCCGGUUCAGGAACCUUCUAAAAGGUCGCCAAAUAUGAUAUUUUUUGUUGCUUAUUACAGAAAUGGCCCACAUUACUUGGUCGCUCGCUCGCUCGUACUUGUGCGAAGCGUCGAUAAUUCUACGCAGGGAACACCCGCGUACAGUGGGGGAUUGCAAGCAUUCACUCACUCUGGACGCGAGCAGCCGAGUGCUUGCGCUAUAUUGGCUUGCUCAUUAUUUUUCUUUUCUCAUUCUAAACUGCGAUUUUUUUAAUUCAAUAUUUUUUAAAAUUCUCAAACAAUUUUUUGAAAUUCAUGAGCUGUUAUUCUUGAAUUUUAGUAAAAUCUUCUUCAUUUUAAAAUUUGCGUACAAUCUUAAAAUUCAUAAAAAAUUUUAAACGAGACCAAUUUUCAAGUUCAAGAAUAUGUUUUUGAAUUUUGGAACAUUUUUUGAAAUAAGAGAAUGAUUUUCAAAUUAUAUAACAUAUUUUGGAAGCACGAAACAUUUAUGAAAAUUUAGAACAAUUUUAUAGAUACAAUAACAUUUUUCAAAUUCAUGUACAUAUUUUUAAAUCUGAGAAAAUUUUAAAAUUGAUGAACAUUUUUUGAAAUAUAAAAACAAUUUGUUCUUCAUGCACAUUUUUGCAAUUCGUGAACUAUUUUUGAUUUUUUGAACAUUUAUUUGUCGAAAUCCAAGAUAAUGUUUUAAGUUUAUGAAGUUUUUUUAGAUCAUUUUUGAAUUUUUCUGAACAAAUUUUGAAUUUUUUUUAAAAAAACAAGAAAACAAUGA